GGACAAACCAGAAGAUGCCUCUAUAAUGGUAAGACUUCUAUACCUAUGCCAGUUUUCCCAGAUACAUUUAUUGUGUUUGUCUGCUGUACUUUGCUGAUGCUGAUAAUAAUAUUAGUAUAGUUAGUAUGAUCAGGACAUUAAGUAUAAAUAUGUGAAUGGAUUGCAUCCCUUCCUACUGAAUAUUACUGUGCAUAUUUAAACUCUCCGUGUUUACCAUUGCAGUACAGCAAGCUUUUUAGUGCAUAUUUCUGUUUUAUGUUCACAGCAGGGUGUUUGCAUUUGAAUUGCUUUUAAAACAUUUCCUUCAGACACUCACCAGUUCUGUAUUUUAACCUUUAGUAAUAUAUGCAGAAUUCAUUUUCAUAUGCAGUCACUGUGCUCUUUUGUUCCGUAUUUUCCAUUUCUAUUGAGCAAGAUGAAAGGGAAAAAAAAUAUUCUGCAAAAUGUCCACUCGUUAUUUUAUGAUUAUUUGUUGUUCCUAUUAUCCAUAAAAUUUUUUUUUUUUUAAAUAAAUAAAUAAACCUGUGUAAAUUACUUUUUUUGUUGAAUACUUUACUUGGAGGGAGCACACAGGAGAGUUUACUAGUAUAUCCAUAGUUCCAUAUGGUUCUUUGUAUACCCAGUUUAAUAUUCCUGGGCUAACAAACUCAAAAUCCUUGCAUUCAUUUUUCCAGAGAGAAGGGCACCAUGCCACGCUAGAGUGCUUUUUCUAAUCCAGUCACAUUUUUGAGUGGUACACUGUGCCUUUCAAUACCCAUUGUUUCUGCUACAUUUUAACAUCAGAGUUUUGAUCUUAAAGAUUGUCUGACUUUUGACAUAACCUCUUGUCUUUUGUUCCCUGUCUGAAAUGGUCUGAUGUCUUCAGAAAAUGUGUUUUGUGUUUUUGUUUUUUUGUUUGUUUUUUUGUGAACUAAUAACUUUGGAUGUGGUCAUAUCUAAUGCAAUUGUGACUUAGGUCUUAUGGUUCCUGAUAGAGAGUAAUGUUGCUAUUCACGUGUUUAUGCUGCACACAUUUUCCCUUGAUUGAACUGCAUUUGUUGUAUGUUAUCUGGUGUUUAAUUUCCUGUUCGUCUUAACCAAAAUACUUAGUAUUAUGUCAUGUUUUGUUCCAACUGCCUGUUCCAAGAACAUCACCAUUAGUGAUGUCAUGAACCAUUCGCGAACUUCCCGUGAACGGCUCGCCGCGGUUCUCCAUGAACCGUUCGCGGCGAACUCCGGUCAGCUGACACAUCCCGGCCAAUCUCCAGCAGACCCUCCCUCCCAGACCCUACCACCUCCUGGACAGCAUCCAUGUUGAAGGCAGAACGGUUCGCGACAUCACUAAUCACCUUAUAUAAUUGCAGUGUGAUAAAGAAUCCUAUAUGCAUAUGUUGGAUAGCCACCAUGGCUAUGGACAUCAAAGUACCACAACAUUGACUUUUCCAUUAUUUUGAAUUGCCAUCUCAAGGUUAUGUUUUGCUUGUUCUUAAAAACCUUGCCUAUCAAAUAAUUUUUUUUAUGGUUAUGGUAUCUGCCAAUGUCUCUGAUUGUGCUCCUGCACCCAAGUACUUUCAAAGAUGUGGGUAUUUUGAAUCAUAUAGUAUGUUAGAAUAUUUUCUUUGUAUCCUUUCACUUUUGAUCACUUUACUGCAAAUAUUCUGCCUCGUCAUUCCUUCUGCCUUGUUAGCCUAUAAUAAGGUUAUUGUGCAAUGUAUAUCAGUCUUCUCUGAAUUCCUACUAUACAUUCAACACACUACAUAGUAUACAUCUUUUCAUCUGAUACAGCAGCAGUAUGUAGUAUAUGCGCGCCUGAAUUGUAUACAAAACGAACAACUGUUUCUACAGAAAAACAGAUAUAUCUUUAAUAGAAAAAAAACCAAAAUAUAAAAUAACGAGAUUCUACUGUACUCCUUACUCCUCUCCAAAGCACUCAGUCUCUGUAUAGAGACACUUCUCAUAUACAAGUGAAUCCUAAUAAUUCUAAAUAGGCAGAUGUUGAAUACCCCAAUCCCAGUGUACUGUGGCAACAGAUUGUGCUAAAUAAUCAAAAUACGAGGCUUAAUCUUGGGGACAAACAGGAAAAUUGUGAUAUUUAGAUAUACCAAAAUACGAGUAGUAAAGUCUCAAUAGAUGUCACCUUAAAGAGAAAAACCCUCAUGCACUGCUCCUCCCCCUUGUUCUUUUGCAGCCCCCAUCUCUUUUAUAACUAGUACAGUCACUAGCUUUUAGUUACAAUGAAAAGCUGCUGACUGCUUUAGAAGGUAUGGCCCUGUCUGUGGCAUGGCAGGUGGGGGCAAUAUAGGGAGGUUUAAAACCUCUCUUGUAGUAAUAUUGGGAUCCUAUUGACAUCAACUUAUUAUGACACCUAUUUAGUGUAUUCCUCCAUUUUUUUAUAUGCAUAUGAUCUGUCGACCUCCCAUUAUUUAAUUUUGAGCCCAGAUCUGAUGCACUUGGAUGGUGGAUGACAGGCCCUGUUACUUUGCAGGCCUCAUCCACAUGGGGCAUUUCUGAAAACUGGGCAGCAAUGGCUGCUCAGUCACUAGUUUUUAGUUUGCUAAUGUGACCCACAACCACAGCAUGGUAGGUGUGAUCAUAGGGAGGUUUAAAACCUUCCUUAUAGUUAUAUGGGGAUCAUGUUGGCUGGAUAGGCUUAUAUAUUUUUGUUUUUAAUGUGAUAAGCAAGUUGGCAAGUUGGUAAUGUGGCAAGUGGGCCAGCCACUGCAUAGUUAAUCCUCCCGCUACAACCCAAUACUUUUUCUCAUCUCUUCUGUUCUAAGAUCAAUUAUUACUUAACAUCAUUAACUGCAUUUAAAGAAGGCACUAUGUAUCCACCCUUUCCUUUAAAGGAUGAUUAAUAAGUUGUGACUUAACACAAAUACAUUUUUGCAACAGAAUUGUAUAAUACAUUGAAUGAAUAAUUGCCAUUUUUUUCUUGAUUUAAAUGUGAAAAAUGGCCUUAGAUAACUGGUAAAGUAUUUAAAUUCUAUGUUCAAUAAAGCCACAUGCAACUCAGUGUGCUUUAUACUUUUUGAUCAAGGGUAGACUGACAACUCACAGUGCCUCGAGGCAUAGGUAAUCAAGGCCCUCACUUGUGCUCCACUCACAUACAAGCACUGCAAUGCAGUGCAAUCAGCUUAUGAUCUUAUUUAAAGAGCUAAGCCCAGCAUGUCAGGGAGAGCUAACAGACAUUCCUGCUUAGGAACUUCUGGCUCUCCCGGAUUCAUAGUGGAGGUGGAAAAUGGUGCUUGGUGGACCUCAGGCAAAAAGUCAAACAGCCUAAAAUAGUAGUUAUGGUGCUUAUUGUGUUCUUUUACAUGUACUAUACUGUGUUAUGUUUAUCUCCAUUCACACCUCCCAAUUUGUGCCUCUCCCUCCAUGUCACACCACACUGAUGAAUCUACCUUACCUUAUUUUCUCUCCCUUCCUCACUUAUGUCUCUCAUUCUACCAACACUUGUCCCUAAUUCCACCCCUAUGCUCCUCACAUGUCAUUCAUUCCACUGCCUUUGGAGGCUGGCAAGUCUUCAUAUCUUUUCCUUCCCCAUUUUUCAUGUUUUGUGGAUCUUUUCUUCAUUCAUUGUUUUUAAAAACUUUAAACAAUCAAUAUUUUGGAUCUCCUGCACAGUGUCAAAAAAUGUGCAUCAUGGCUGAUAUAUGUUCUUAGAAUAUUCUUUGUUUGUGUUUCCUUUAAUCUAUGUUCCUUUUCAUUUUUCAUGACUAUUAAGCUCAUUUUGAGAGCACAAUUAUGAGCACGUUUUGGUCACUGGGUAGAGAUAGAGCCAAAUCAAUGACAUAUAAGCCUUUUUUAUCGCAGGUUCACAUUGUAUAGAUUGUGAGUCAUGUUUGUGUGAAUUUUUGGUUCCCUUUAAUUCUACCAGAAGGGAUAGCUCGCUAACUAUUAAAUUAAUGAGUGCACAAUAUGUGUAUUUAGUUCCCUAGAACUUGAUGUAAAUUAUAAUGCAAAAAAAGGUAUAAUGAAAUUAUAGGCAAUGCACAAUUUGGCACUUGGAAUAACAAUAAUAAGAUAUAAUAUAUUUACAUAAUAAUGCACAGUUUGAUCAUUUCUGUUUCUACAUAUUUUCAUAUGUCCUCUUUGAUUUAUAAGUAAAAUGUAUCCAGUCUGCCUUUUUGGAUGCUGAAAACUGAAGACACCUGAAUAUAAGUGCAAAACUUUGCACUUCUCCACAAUCUUUACCUGACCAGUAUUUCCCUUCCUUUAAUUCCAUAGUGGAUGCUUUACUGCUCAAAGCCUUCAUUAUUCUUGAACCAAUUAUGAUUCCUAAUUCUUGCUUUGUUUAUUUAACACUUGAUUUUUUUUGUACUCUUAUUGUCCAUAAUUAACUAACACAAAACCCACUCCUUAGGAGAUGAUGCAUUUUUCCUGGUGUUCUUUCAUGGUAUUUGCUCUUACAUAGAAACAUAGAAUGUGACGGCAGAUAGGAACCAUUCAGCCCAUCUAGUCUGCCCAAUUUUCUAAAUACUUUCAUUAGUCCCUAGCCUUAUCUUAUAGUUAGGAUAGCCUUAUGCCAAUCCCACGCAUGCUUAAACUCCUUUACUGUGUUAACCUCUACCACUUCAGCUGGAAGGCUAUUCCAUGCAUCCACUACCCUCUCAGUAAAGUAAUACUUCCUGAUAUUAUUUUUAAACCUUUGGCCCUCUAAUUUAAGACUAUGUCCUCUUGUUAUGGUAGUUUUUCUUCUUUUAAAUAUAGUCCCCUCCUUUAUUGUGUUGAUUCGCUUUAUAUCCCCCCUGUCUUGUCUUUCCUCCAAGCUAUACAUGUUAAGAUCCUUUAACCUUUCCUGGUAAGCCAUGGUAAUUCAGUAAGCUGAAAAUUGUCAGAAAUUGAUCAGGGAAUAUAUGUAGUGAAAGAAAAUCUAUAGGUCAGCUUUUUAUCCACCUGUCUCGAUUUCAUAUUUUUUGAUAAGCUUUUCAAAUGAUUUAAUAUUUUUGGAUACACCUUUAAAAUAAUUUUCAAGCUAUUAAAAUAUCAAAAAAUAUAUCAUGCAUUAAAAAAUAUAUAUAUAUAUAUAUAUAUAUAUAAAUAUAUACAAAUAUAUUAAAAUAUUCUUCAAAAUUUUAAAUAAUUUUAAAGGUUUGUCCAAAAAUAUCACAGUAUUUUAAACCUGUAUCCAAAAAUAAAAGCUUUUUUAAGGCCUAUAAUUUGAAAUUCACUUGUUCAUUCACAACAAUUCCCAUUUUAGUUGAUAAUAUUGUUGUUUGAUGAACAAGCUCAGAGAAAGCACACGCAAUGGGUUUUGGUAACAGUUAUUAAAAUUGGGGAAAAAAUACUUGAGUUUGUCGAACUCAAAAUAGUAUAUUUAUUAUUUAUUACUAUAGCAACAACUUUUUCUGCAGUGUGUACAAUGGGUUACAAAACAGACAGUAAAAUAAGGGUGCGCCUAAAAUAUAUAAAUAUAUAAUAAGAACAUAUACAUAAAUAGAAGUAUAAUAAAAUAUUAAAAUAAAAUAAGUUAAUUUAAAAUAAGUGGUUGGCAAUAGUCCAAAAAAACUUAUCACAGUCCGUAAUGGUAGGUCCCACGUGUAGAGAAGAAAUUCUUAGGGUGUUGAAUGGGAUCAAGUCUUCACGGUUAUAUGCUUGAAAUAUGAUGGAGCAUAUGUAGAGAGAAAAAUAAAACAGGACUCCAAUGGCACGGUAUAUAGGUAAGUAAAAUAUAAAGAAAUAAAAAUAGUCUUACUCACACUUUUCAGAGCUAAAAUCCAGCUCUGAUAUUGCGCACGUAAAGUGGAAUAUCCUUUUUAUUAUUAGGGGAUUAGUGGGGACUCCCCUUUGAGGUGUGCAGCCUUCUUAUUUAUAUUUUGUGUGGCAAUUCAGUGCUGAUUUUUUCCUUUUGUUUUGUACAAUGGGUUACCUAUUCCUACUGAAUCUUUCUGGAUGAACAAGCUCAUAUAAAUGAUGAUAUCAAUAUUAUGCAUUAGAAUGCAUGUUAGUAUUAAAUAAAUAAAGACUGAAACAGAUUUCAUAAAAUACAAAGAUAGUUCAGGCACUCCAAGGUUCAGAAAUGGCAAGCUUAUUGAAACCCAAAGUAACACAACGUUUCGACCUUGUGGUCUUUGUCAAGCUAUCAAAUACAUAUACCACAACAAAUUUAUGGCAGUGACAGUUGUAUCAGAAAUCUCAUGUUUAAUGGAAAAUUACCAAACAACAUUCAAAAUAAACAAACUAAACUCAUGCACUGUUUAUUUGUUUUUGUUUUUUCACAACAAUUUUAUAAAUUUAGAUACAUAAAGUGAAUGCCUGUUAUAAUGUAUAAAUAUUAUUUUUCCAAUAAAAAUAAAAAAAUAUACUUUUUAUUACAUUUGUUUAUAUUUUUGUAUUGCAGUUUAUUUACUACAAUAUUUUUAUUGAAUUAGUUUAAAAAGUAACUUGUGCAAUGAAAGUGUAACAGUGAAUGUAUUAGUAAUGUCAUUUUUAACUCUUGCAUGUCUCGUUUAGUUGUAAAACCACAAAGUUGAAUGUAUAUUCACCUACAGUGCUGCCACAAACAAGCUGAUUCUCCCAAACUAGCUAGCAAUAUAACAAUAUAUAACACAAGGUGGCACAUGGGGGUGUGCAGUUGACUGUCAUAUUAGUGUUAUCAAAACCGUACUAGUAAUCAAGCAAAGGUAUACUUCUCUUGAUCAGAUGUCCAUACUGAAUUCAAUGUUAGAUCAUUUAUUUACGUAAAAAAAGAUAAAAAUGAAACAGAUUAUAGGGUAAUUUGACAAUCAUCAAAUUGUGUUAAACAACUUUCUCAAUUAGUGAUUAAGUCUACUCUCACCUGAUAUUUAAAUAUCAUCAGCUAAUGUUCCAUUGGUUGGUCAAUCAUGGAUGAUCCCUCCUCCAUGAUUCCUAGGGUCCCGUCUCUCGAAAGGCUCUUGGCUGAAAUUAAUGAUAAAACAUGUACAUACAAAUGCUUAUGUUGACAUUUAACAAUCUGUGUGGUUCAAUUGAGCACAAAUGUUGGACCAUAAUAGCUUUAUUAAAUGCAUAAAAGCCCUGUGUGGCCAAAAAGAAAUUCACGUGUUAGAGUUAUAACAUGUUGAGGUAGAAUCAUAUUCUUUUUUUUUCCCACCUUUUACAAUAAAAUACAUAUGUGAACAAUGGUCAGAGUUGCAUAAUUUUUAUAAACAAUUGUAAAAAAUGUAAAAACAAGAUAUUAUAAAUAUAUGAAAAAUACAUCAAGCGAAGAAUUCCAUGAUACCAAUAUAGAUAGCAAUAAUGAUUAAACUAGGUAAUGGUUCACUCCAUAUGUUUUCAAUUGGUGAAUCCAGUAAUUCUCCCUUUGGAAAACUCUCUUAACAAUGUAUGUAAUGUUAUCUACCUUGUCAAUUCCAAAACAAAAAAAAUGUAAUUUUAAAUUUAGCACAUUUAUUGCAGUGGCGAGAAACAUUGUGUUUAGUACUUUUUUUAUUUAUUAAAUUUAGAUGUUCUAAAAUAUCUUCCUUCAGGGGGUGAAUAAUUCAUCCCACAUACUGUAAUCCACAAGCAUACUGCCAUAAAUAUAUUAUGUUUGCAGAGUUGCAAUUUAUGAAAUGUUUAAUUUUAAACAGGUUUUUGUUACUGAUACUGGAAAGGCUGUUUUUUGUUCUAGGUAAGAACCAACACAUCUUAUAUUUCCCAUAUUUAUUAAACUCAACUGGUUGGGUUAUCUUGAAUUUAUCUUUGUGUGGUAUAACUUGAUUAAUUCAGUAUAAAUUACUUCAAGCUAAUCUGCGUUUUAUGGUUCCUGGGAUUUUUUUUUGUAUAUUAUUUGUGUUUUCUUCUGGUAAUAGCCCACUUAAGAUUUUAUCAUUUUUAAGUAUCCCCUAAUGUUUCUGAAUUGACCAAUUGAUGAGAUUGACCUGGUUGCGAUAUGUUAAAUAAUAAUGGAUGCAAAUCCCAAAUCAUUCAAAUUAUUACCUACUUGUUUAUUGUUGUGUUUAUCAUCUAAAAUAUGUUCUCUAUCAGUAUUUUUGCUUCCUUGAACAUUUCCUCCAAAACACAUGGGGGGUAUCCUUGUAAAAAAAAAAAGUUUUAAUUUGAGGUACAAUUUCUUUUCAUUCUCAUAAUGUGCUCCUUGAGGAUAUUAUUUAACCAGUUUUAUGGUGACAACGUUUAUAAUAUAACUAUAGGUAUUGAUGGAUUUGAAAAGGGUCCACAAUGACAUUGUGCUGCAUCCCAGCAUCAAGCAUGAUAUGGAAUGCUCCAUCCUUGACUGGAUGGUUUAUAACUCUAAAAUGACGUAGGCAUGGCUUUGUUACAGCAGCACCAUUUAAUUAUGUUAUGGCAUCAUUUUGAAUGCUAUGGCUAUUUAUACUUAGACCAAAAUGAGAUCAGUGCCCUUUUUUAUUCUUUUGUGGCCCAAAUGUUCAUUUUGUGUUUGCUAUUAUGGCUAUCGACUUUGGCCCAUAUCAUGACUAUCCUGGCCUCAGCCUCACCAUUACUAUGUUAAGCAUGGUCACCUCCAAGCAUUGUUAAUGCAUACUGUUCCUUGUUCUCUCCUGGGUUUGCAUGUUGGGAAUCUGUACCUUCCUGACUAACUAAGUAUCUGACUAUAACAUGGUGCUGUCUAUCAACAGCCAAAUAAUCAAUGUAAGGUUGUUUAAGACUCUGUUUGAAAUACAUAAAACAAUAUUUCUUUUUGUUUUCAAACCAGUUGUUAGAUCACAAUCCAUUUAACAUGUAUUGCAUUUAGAUUUAAUGCAUCUUUAUCUAAAUUUGAGAUGCUCAAAAUUUAUUAUUUUAAAAGUCAACUUUUUCUAGAAAUUAUUUGUAAGGGGAUCAUUCUGAGUAGAAAAGGAUAAAUAAUUCUUGUCUACAUAAGGCAUUCUGAUGUAUGUGUGGAUUGACAGACAGACAGUUCAAUGCUAAAGAAAUUCUAACCAAUAUGGUUGUUAUUAAAAUUAAUUAACGUUUUCUCAUAUUAUACAUUUUCAUAAAUAACGUAAAUUACUUAGCAACCAGUUUGUUCUACAACUGAAACCCAGUUGCAAGGUUUUUUUAGUACCUUAUAGUUUGCAAAGUCUGCAUUUGCUUCCCAGAGCUCAUCACAAUUAUUUAUUUUAGAUACUUUAGUAGAGGCACUAUUAAGAUUGAUAGCAUUGAUUGGAACCAGGGGUAGUUUAUAGAGCAUAUUACUGAAGUAUGCAACUGAAGGUUGUUCCUAAUAACUAUUGUGUUUACUGCCUUGAUGCAAUCUCAAGUACUGCUAUUUAAAAACCUUCAUACAGACAUUUUUGUUUUCACGUGUGUAUACGUCAGUGUCCAGUGUCUGGCUUGCUGUAUUUGUUAGUUCUGCAAAAAGAAAUAUUUCUAAGAACAUAUUAUCAUAAGUCCUCGAGAAUGAUGUCAUUAAUAAGCAAUUGACCAAAAAUCUUCUUAUAGUGUAUAUGUUAACAUUAUGAAAAUAAUAUAAAUGACCAAUACAAACAGCUCCCUGAUGACCUGUUUAUUAACAAUACAGUAGAUAGAGAAAGGAUAGUUCAGAGGAGAGUUCAAGUGAACAUAAAUUCAGAGUUAAAGAAAAGAGAUUUUACUUCCAGUAAGAACAAUACGUAUGUUAUAUUGUCUGCCUUUAGAUUUUUUUAUAUCAAUCACAUUGGACGCAACAUAGCUAUUUAUUUAUUUUUUCAUAUAUAUAUAUAUAUAUAUAUAUAUUUUUUUUUUAAACAUGAUGAUUGUAAAUGCUAAUCAAUAGAACAACAAAUGAUUCAUUUGUAUUUUACAAUUUUGUCAUAGAUAUUUUUUUCCAUCUCUGUCUCACAUCUCACCUGUUAUGAUUUACUGGAACUUUUUUUGGUUUGUGCAUUAUUGUUGUUGGAAUGUUGCCUUCAUGCACUGACAGUGCACCCAGCUUUGUUAAAGGAAUGCCUGAUCAACUUUGUAUCAUUCAGAUUUUUUUUUCUUGUAAUACAAAGUUGUUGCAUGAGCUAUCUUAGUUGGAUUACCCAUUAAUUGAAACCAUCUGUCUACUGGCAUUACUGUAACUUACAAAUCAGCUGUACUGACUCCAACCCUCCUGUAUAAUUUGUUACACAAGGAAACUCCAGCAUUUAUCUGCUUUAUUAGGAGACUGCAAAUACAAUAGACAGACAGAAAUACAGAGAUAUAUAAACAGAGAUAGAUAGAUAGACAGACAGACAGAUAGAUAGACAGACAGAUAUUUAAUAUUUUUUUUUCAUUUUAUUUCUAUCAUUUGAUAGUUAUGGACUGUGCAAUCUAUUCUACCAUCACUAUUAACAUAUUUUUAAAGUGAUACCCUCCUGUAACUUACAUUGUAUUUUUCUGCAGUUGGGUUCCUAAUUAUUUAUUGAAACAAGUUAUACAAGUUAUUAUAUCACACCUUUAUCAAAAUGUGUAAAACAUGCUUUUGUCAAACAGCAAAUAGAUAUGGAUACUGAGAUGGAAUAUCUGGUCACCGAAGCCGGGUACAUGUCUCCCCAACCUCCACCCCUCAAUCAAAAGACUAUUAUCACCAUGGACGAACCCUCCAACCCGUGCAUCCCAGUCUAACUCGCCUUCCUAUUGGCUCCAAAAUCACCUCUCACCAGUAAGGGGGCCCUGAGGCAUGGUGUGCCUGAGCGGGAGCAAACCUGAACUCUCCUGGAACUCUAAAGUAGAUUGCAGAGUCACCACGAUCUGCUAAAACGUCAACCAGACUGCUUCAGUCCCAGCACCAGCAGUCAGGGUGCUUUUGGAGGAUUAAUAGAGGGAGUGGGAAGGCAUCGAAUGACAUCAAGGACUUGAGGAGUUCCAUCUACCCACAGAAAGCGCUGAGAUUUUAGGUGGCUGUGAACUCUAGCUAGCACUCUGGAACUCUGCUCUCAGGGGACUAGCCGGGUCCCACUAAACUUUGUAACUUCACCUAAUUCAGGCUAGCCACAUUCAAUCUGUGCAUUUUUUGGACAGUAUGGACACUCCAGAGAGACCUUUCAAUGGAUGGUACUCUUGUGUGGAUAUGGUCACUGGAAAUAUGGUUUAUUGUUGCUUUUGUUAACCCAGUGCCAAGGUUUCUGGAUGAUAAUUAAAUUACCAGCUCAGGCACAGACAACAAAUCUCUGGGUAUGUCACAAUCUAUUGUUUUCUCUGGGGACCUUGUGUGGAAUCCCCAGAUAUAUAAGGUGACAAUUGUGCCUCAAUAAAGCAGUUCAUUUUCACCCUUCACUAAGUCUCAACUAGUGCUUGGGUGAGACAGAGGUACUCUCUGCAAGAGAGCAUAAUCACUCUGGAGCUUCUGCACAAGGGAAGGGGACAGCCUAGGCGGUAGUAACCCAGCUUCUCAUGGGUAUACCGCCACAGUUAUAAAAUUACCUAUAGUACAAAAUCUUAUUUUAAAUUUAUGACAAAUGAGCCUACCAUCCAAGAAAUUGUUACUAGAAAUCACACUGGUUGACACCCUGUGAAGAAGGUUUGUAUUCUAUAUUAGAUAUAUAUGGUAUUAUAAUAAUCUAGCAAAUGUAAACACAUACAAGUUAGUACAUUUGGAGGAUUAUUUCUUAUGUUAAUGAAGCUAAUAGUAAAUUAUAUUCCAGUUUAUUAGUAAAUAUAAAAAAAACCAUAUUUAAACAUUAUACAAAAGCAAAUUUGUUUAUGGAAAGCCUCGGAGAUAUAUAAUCAUUGGGAACAGCGCAAACACUCAGUUGUAGUUUGCUAACACUGCAGUGAUUUUACAAUUGUCAUGUCCUGUUCCAUUCUGCAGAUAUGUCUGGCUUUGGCUUCUGGUAUCCAGUACUCUUUUUACAAUUCUUGUUUAGUUUUUCUUGUUUUUUCUGAUUUGCUAUUCUAUGUCUGGUUUUCUGGGUACAUUCCUUUAUCGCGUUCCUGGAAUUCCCAGUCUCCUGGAUUCCUUUAAAUGUUUGUUUUUUCUUGCCACACCCAUUCCUUUGCCAUUAAUCCUUUUUUGUUUCAGUCUGUUCCUGCAAGCAGUGGUCUCAUUUCCUCUGCUCCUUUCUUUACAGGUAAGUACUGUGUGUUUUUUAUUGUUGUUUAUUUAGUCAUGUAUAUCUAGGCUGUAAGGACCCACCGUAAUUGGAGUACUUUGGCGCAGUGGUGGGCUGCAUACAUCUUGGUCAUUUAUCUAUGUCUGAAUCUCCAAUGUUUAUUACAAAUAUAGUACGUAAUUAUGUCUCCUCUUGUUUUGCCUUGUAUCUCUUGUCUCGUUUUAUUUGUCUUGUAUUCCCAGUUCAUGUACAGUCCUAUUCUGUCCUGCUCUGUCCAUGUCCUGUUCAUGUUUCCCUCAUGUAUUGUGUACAUGUUCUGGGUUCUGCUUUCUGUCCUGCUCCGGUUCUGGGUUCUUCUAGUCUUAUCUUUUUUACUUGUUUGGUGCCUGUUCUAGUUUUACCUUGUUUCUAGUACUGGAUACAUAUCUGCUUAAUAUCAGCUCAUGGCAUCCGCUUAAGCUGCAUCAGGGCUUUGGUAUUUGGCCGCAGAAACCCUGGUGCUCAACACCAGGAGGUGUGUGGUUACCCUGCACCAGGCCCUCAUAGUCCAUUUACACGCUAAGACUCCCAUCAUCCUCGUCAGGCACACAGGUGUCCCGGUCUUCGGACCGCCACCCGUGACAACAAUAUCUAUAUUACUGUGAUUGUAAUCUAUAAUGCUAGUCAGUAAUCACAAAACACAUACAUUUUAAGAAAAUCACAUUGCCUAUACUAGGCACACAUGCACUAACCAAAACAAGUAUCUGCUGUCUUUGUUCAGUUCUCUGCAAAUGGAAUGUUUGUUGCUAAACUCUAUGAUUGAAAUGCUAGAACAACCUAGCCAUAUAAGAUGAAUCGAAUCAUUUUAAAUUACAAUUAUCAAAAUGAAUAAUGCCUUUGAGCUGAGAGUAUCCUUUCAAACUGUUUAAUGUUUAUAAAAGGUUUAUAAAGGUUACUGUAAGAAAGCCAUUCAUCCUUAUCCUUAUCAUGCCACUCUGCAUGCCAAUUAAUGCCACUUUACCUGCCACACUUCAUGAUUCUUAAAUUAUUUGUUAACAUCUUUGUACAUUAGAGAGAUUUGCUUUGAAGUAUGUAAGUAUUGCAGUAUGAAUGUUUUAUAUUCUUUAAAUGCCAUACAUUAAAAAAGAGUAUGCAGUUCUAUACCUAGGGUAAAAAAAAAUGUGAGUUAAAAACAUUACAUGUAUUUUCUUUUAAUUAAAUGAUUGAAAAUUAAUUUUGGACUUAUUUCCCAUAAUUACCAAUGCUAGGCCUGUCCCCAUGGUUAUUGGUAAAACGUCAAAAAAUGCUUGCUUUGUCUGCAUUUGACUGAGCAAGUUGUCCUUUGUGUUUGCAUAUACCCGAUGCCAUAUUUCACAGAUAUUUUAUAUUUACAAUGUCUAGAGACAGACCUUAUUUGUGCUUAAAUGUACAUUACAUGUAUUUUUUGCUGGUAUUAAAGGUUUGUGGUCAAAGCAUGACUUUUCACUUUUACAUCUAUUUGAGGAAGGCAUAAUUAUUAGUCAAAUAGCAUCUAGCAAUAAUUUAUGCCAUCUAUCCUCUACAUUGAAUUCUGUGACCUUGUAAAUGUUAACAAUAGUCCUUCAGGCAAUUAGCAACUUGCUAUUAAAAGUUACUGACAAGUGACAACCGUGGCCUCAUGGAUGUAUAGCCUUUAUAUGAUUGACUUUGUGAUGAUGACUGGACUAUGAAAGUUAAAUACCUAGUUAAAACAGAUAUAUAAGGUCAGUGGCAGAACUCAGAGUCAGUGGCAUUACCACUUGUAGGUGAUAACGCAUGAAAUCCCAGACUCCUCCUUUUGUGGAGCAUUGAUUAAACCUAGGUUAUAUACAUCUACAGCACUGGCAGCAAAACACCAGGAAAAAAGGCUAACCAGUCUAAGUUGGAGAAAAUCACAAAGGUGUUGUUAGCCUUGCUUUUUCUAUAUUCACACUCUCAGCUGUAAUCCCACUGCAUGAAAAUUGAAAAUUUAACCCUAGUAGUUUAAUUAGUCCAUUUAAUAGAUAUGUGUAUAAACCCAGGAGACUAUAAUUUAUUGAAAAAGUGCUAAACCUCUUAUAUUUGAUUGCUUGGACAACAUCUUACAAGAUCAAAAGGCAGUGCUCAGCCAAUCUUGUUCUAAGGGACCUAGAAGUCGCAUGGGUACCUAGAAGUCGCAUUGGCACUCCAAUAGGUAUAUGACAUUUUAGUGUUGCAGCAUAUAAGAUCUUUGAUAGGAUAGGAUUUUUUAGUGUUAAUCCGAUGUGAAGUGAGUGUUUUUUGAUCUUAUGCUGGGAACUAUUGUUUUACAUACAAUACAUUGAUUACAUUUAAAAAAACACUUUUGAUUUGGAUAAAAAGGAUAAGUUAUUGUUGACCCUGUUUUUUGCAUAAUUCUUAGUAAGGAUCGUUCUAAAAUUUUGGGCACCUCUAAAAACAUUUGUUCUAUCUGGAAUAAAAUCUAUUAAAAUCUCAUCCUGUUUUAAUAUGUGCCAGUGUUUUUAAUCAUUUUUUUGACAGGCUACUUUUAUUGUUAAAUAUAACACAAUGUUAUUGUUAAAUAUAACAGGCAUAAAAUUAGAAUUUUUUUUGUCUCUAUCUUUGUAUUCAAAAAGGUCUAUCCUGUCUUUUCUUGUGAUGGUCUCUAGAGUAUUGUUGAGGUUAUCCAAAGAGUAAUUUUUGUUCGUGAAUUUGUUUUUUUAAUUCUAAGGCUUGUUCUUCAAAGUCUGUGAUACGGGAGCAGUUUCUACAUAAAUGUAAGAAUUAGCUUUUAGGAAUUCCUUCAACCAUGGUUUGUGAUGACAACUAGAUUGGUCAAUUACUGUAUUAGUGCAUACUUUUUUGUUUUAGUGUUAAUUGUGCCAUUGUGGAUAAAAAUAUGUAGAUCUAAAGAAUUAAUACAUUCUCGACUGUGUUCUGAAGUUAAAAUGAUACCAUGGCUGUUAUUUAAAUGAUUUUUAAAAAGUUUAAGAGAAUCUUCAUGGCCUUCCAAAUAAAAAACAGAUCAUCUAUAAAUCUAAACUAGGAGACCAGGUUUGUCUUUCAAACAUGCUGACCCCAGAUGGCCAUGGAUUCCCAAUUGGCCAUGAAGAGGUUAGCAUAGCUCGGGGCAAACCUGGUCCCCAUAGCUGUACCUUGUUUUUGAAUAUAAAAAGAAUCUAAAAAACAAAAUGAAUUGUUAUUUCAAAUGAUAUUAAUACCUUCUAUAAUAAAAUUGAUCUCUUCUGCUGGGAUAGAGUUUUCAGCUGUUAAAAUGUUAAAAACUGCUUCACAAACCUUAUCGUGAAGAAUAAUUGUAUACAAGGAUUGUACAUCGCAUGUAACUAAAAUGUAGUCUGGGUGCCAGAUAAAAUUUUCUAAAGAGCAAAGAAAUGUCAUAGAGUCUUUAAGAUAUGAUCUCAUAUGAUUUACUGAUGGAGAAGGAUAUCUAUAUAUUCUGAUAGGUUAGCUCGUAUGGAAUUUAUCCUGGAGACAAUAGGUUUACCUGGAGGAUUGGUCUCAUUUUUGUGUAUUUUUGGGAGGAAAUAGAUAACAGGAAUUAUUGGACAAAUGACAUUUAAAUAAUCAUAUUAAUUUUUGGUUAAAAUAUUGGACUCCAAACCAGAAUUUAUAUUCUAAGAGUUUUGUAAUGUUAGGGGUGGGAUCUGAGGUUAAUUUAUUAUUGAGAUGUUUUCAUCAUUUAUUGCCUGAGUGCUUCGUCUAUGUACAUGGUUUUAGAUAAUAUAACUAAGCCUCCACCUUUAUCUGCUGGUUUAAUGAUAAUUUCUUCGUCUGCUUGUAGUUCUUUUAAUGCUCGCUGUUCUUGGUGAGUUAAAUUAUAGUGUUGAUGUUUGUGUUUUUUAAUAUUGUCAGGGUCUUUUAAAACUAAUUUUUCAUAGGGCCAGAUUUAAAACCGGAUGGAUAAAAAUGUGAACGUUUUUUAAGGUGUGUUCUAACUAUCGUGGAUUCAUUUGAAAUGGUAGGAUUGGGAAUAUCUGAAUUACUCUGAGUCGUGUGUGUUGUAAUGUCAGAUGUGUUCAAUUUGCUGAACAUGUGUUCGAUUUUCUUUUUAGUGCAGCCUUUCUAAUUAAUUUAUUGGUGUCUAAAAAGGCUUGGAAUUGGUUAAAAGGGUUAGUGGGAGCAAAUUUUGGGCCCUUGCUUAAAACAGAAAUUUGGGUAGAAUUUAAAACCUUUUGAGAUAAGUUAAAAAUGCCAUGUUCUUUUUCAGUUUUAUCUGAUAAUGUCUUUUUAGUCUCUCUCUUUUGUUUUAAUCUUCUUCUACCUCUCCUUCCUCUAUGCUUAAACUCCGUUUUAUUUACCUUGACAAAAAACCCGGUUUGGUGUUUGAAUGGUGAUAUAUUUUGCCAGCUUUAACAGAAUGUGUUUCCCAUUCAUAUAAAAAAUUAUUUAAAAAAAUAGGAAUAUUAAAAUGUUUUAAUUUUGAAUAUGACAAAUAUUCUAUAUCAAACAAUUCAACAUAAUUUUAUAAAAAGAAAAUACUGACAAAGAGUGAAUAACCUUUUUUAGCUUUCAAAACAAAUUUAACUGUUUAAAGUUUUUCCUUAAUCAGUCAUAUAGAAUAUUAAUAUUGAAUGAAUAUUAGUUUUACUAAAACCCAGAAUUUUGCACUGCACUCAAAUAUUAAUAUUUAGUGAUCAGGUGAAAUCCUGUCAACUACGCCAUUUGUAUGUAGAAAAUCACAUGAGGAUAUUUGAGAAUGAUUAAUUUGAUUUAGCUCUUACAACAAUAAGUAUUUAAAAAUAAUCUUUAGCUGAUCACAUUGAACACCAACAUAGUGAAGGAAAAACGCAAAGUCUUCUGGAAGCAGAAUAUGGAAGAAUAUAAAACAAUAUUGCAUUGUAAUAGACAGCUUAGAUUUUAAGUUUGGAUAAAGCUUCUAUGGCUCCACUAGUUUUGCCCAAAUUCUUCUCCUUAUACACUGAAUGGAGAUGCAUUUAUUCCUCUCUCCUUCUCUUUCUCAAACCAAGCUUCGAGAAGCCUGUCCCAUGCGUGCAAUUGCUCCUCGUUGCUCACAAAGCCUUUGUUCUGUGAAGGGGAGCUUCCUCCACAACUAAUAGACUCCUAUAUGCAUUGGAUUUUGCAAUUACUCACCAAAGUUUACUUGUUGCACCUUUUGUACACUUAUUGCCUUUAUUUAUUUAUUUUAAGGUUAUUAUAAGAAAUUUUAUGAAAUGAUUCAAGUGUUGGCAUGAAUUUUGUUAAAGAUACUAGCGUAUUGCAUAUUGACAGGGGAAUAAUGCCUGCAAAAUAACUUGGAAUAAGGUCAAUCUUGAAUGUUAAUACCGGAAACGUCUUUGUUGGUUCUUAGUGUCAUGGUUAAUGGCUCCAAAGACAAUAUAAAUAGAAGCAGAGACAAUGGACACCAUUCAUGAAUGUCACUGGAAAUAAAGCCUUUGUUGAUAUUCCUGGAGGCAUUAUGUUGGUAUAUAGUGGCAUGAUCAUUUAAAAAAACAAGAAAGCAGGAGGGUUGGUGUAGCACCUAGGAUGUCGUCGGAAAUAUAUGUAACGACAGAAGGAGAGGACUAAUAGUGUAGCAUGUAAAAUAUGUUGGAUAAAAAGUAUUAAAAGUUGUUCACUCACACUUUUUAGGUGCUAAUGUUCAGCUCCAACUUGAACUCUUGGGCAGAAUGAUCCCCACCUAGCGAUAUAAUGUGGUACAGGAUCUGCAUGUAGUCCUUGUAGUAAUAGCAUUUCUUGUGGAUAUGUGGAAGAAAAUCAAGACAGUAUAGUGUAGUAUGCCAGACCAAACAGCAAUAUGGCAGUAUAAAAAUAUACUGCUAAUCCUAAUAAGUCAGUGAGCUUUCCCAAGUCCACAUAAAGCUCCUGACUAAUUUUGGUGUAAUACUGUUUUGGUCGACGCCGUGGCUGUGCCAAUCACGUGGCACAGCUCACGGCGCCAUUUUGAAAUUCACAUUUUUCUUCCCUCUCCUUACUAUAUAUAUUUUUUUCAUAAUAAUUGCUCAUUUUUUGUAUUUUAACACUUGAACAUACCCUCUCAGAGUAAUCGGGCCCAUGCCCACUCAGAGUAUUCUUACAGUUUUUGUAACAUUUUUAAAUAUUCAUGUUAAUUUACUUCCGAUCACAUGACUAUGCCAUCACACGUCCAUUGUUUUCACAUUUUAGAUCCCAUUAAAAGCAGCUUUGGUCCUUUUAGUCUGUAAACACUUUUUAUAAAGCUAUUUAAUGGUGAAACUCAUGAAGUAUAUCUAAAUAUUGUUCUAUACUGCUUAGUUUCCCUUUUAUUGUUUUAUUCUUUGUUUUUAUGAGAAAAGUACUUUUUUAUUGCUGCUGGAUUCCUGAACACCUAUAUCCUUGGAAGGGAUAAAAAACCACAUGUGCCUUUUGGAUUGAGCAAACCUAAUUUUGUUUUACUAAAUGCAAGCAAAUUUUUAUUAUUCUAUACUUUCAUUCCAUCUGUACGGAAUACACUAUUGUGGUUUCAUUUCUCUUACAUAUACAAAGGGAUACCAACACCACCUAUAUUCUUGAGUGGGGAUCAUACCACUUCACGCCAUAACUGUGGAGUCACUGUUCAGGCUCCAUAAUAUGCAUAUUUUUAUACUGCUAUAUUGCUGCUAUUUAAUCUGGCAUACUACACUAUACUGUCUUAAUUUUCUACACCAACCCUCCUGCUCUCUUCAUUCUCUACUGGAUAAGAGAGACUCCUGAUCUGGUAACUAAGCUGCCUUAGAACUAUAUCAGUAUUUUACAAGUCUGAAAAACAAUAUUGAUGAGAGGUAUAGCGCUCAUGUUAUUACAUUGCCUUGCCCAACACCGCGUGUACCCGGCGGUGUCACAGCGUGCUUUAAUUGACCAUACACGAUCGUUACAGUAACUCAGCUGAGCCCAUAGUGUGACGUGGCAGAUCACAGCCCAAGCCACUGGAGCGUUCUUCCUCAGAGAUCGCGGUGUUCCUAUGGACGCCGGCUGCUGCGAUGCCGCUGUCCUAUGUAGCUCAGUCUCUGGCAGGGUUGGGGAUCAAGCGCCCGUACGUUUUGGAAUCACAUGAUCCCUGCCUACCAAUAACAUUGAGGAAUAGGCUGUUUCAACCCCUUACUGUGUUUCCUCUUUGCCCUGCCAUGGUUUCCAUCCUGUUUGGUUAUCCAUGAGUGCUUUUCGGUAUAUUGUUAUUUCUAGUUUUCACUCUUGGCCUGUUCUAACUAUCUGUAUUUCUGGCUUCCUGACUCUUUGGCUUUUGGUUACCGUUUAUGCUUCUAUCUGUAUCCUUAAUUUCAGUUAGUUCCUGGUUAUUCUAUAUACUAUUCUUAAUUCCAGCCAUUAUAAGGCCCUGUAAUGUUUCCUUAGUUUAUUAUUUUUUCUGUGUUUGUCUUAAUUCUGCGAGUUGGGCAGAACUUUUGCCCAACUUUUGAUGACACAACAUUGCUUGGCUGCUAUAAAUUAAAAUUUUAGAAUUUGUGUCCAAGUCCAUCUCUGCAUUUGUGUUUCAGCUGAAACAUAUGAUUACACAUGGAAUGUUAUGCAUACAUGAAAAUGUAGUAGUAUAGGAGACCCACAAAUUUCCAGAAUAUUUGGAUCAGAAUGCUAUCUAAAGACUAGCCCUUUUCUAAAAGCUGGUUUCUAAUAAUUAUAUAUAGUAAACCACCUGCACUCACGGUAUAUAAUUAUGUCAUUGUUAAAAAAAACACAGUGUAUUAUAAUAUUUAUAAAACUAUUUAUUUGGUACAUAGACUUUAUAACUUUAGUUUCAUGAACAGAAGAAUGCAAUGUAAUUCACAUCAUAGUUUCCACUUGCGAAGAAUAGGAGGAAGGAUAUUUAUGUAAAAUAUAAUUUAAAGUGUAAAAAGAUCUUUGUGUCUUCGGAGUGGGAGUGUACAUGUUAAGCAUGGAUUACAAAUGCAUCCUGUUGAUGAAUUGUUCUUGAAGAAGAUCUUCUUGAGAGCAUUUUUUUCUAAAAAAAAGAAAUAGAAAAAUGAAAAAAGAAUAGAGGAAUAUGAAAUCAGCAAAUGUAGUUCAUAUGAGUUUUAUGAAUUCUAACAACUGAAUAACAGAACACAAAAUCCCACUGUCAUUAAUAAGAGUUUCCAUGCGUUGAUACAAGCAUUUCACUUAUUUGCAACUGAUAAUUUAAAAAAAACUUCAAGACUUUACUGCAGGCUUCCCCAAACUCCGGCCCUGCAGAUGUUGCUGAACUACAACUCCCAUGAUUCUAUGAAUGAAAUAGAUAGGCUGAGAAUCAUGGGAGUUGUAGUUCAGCAACAUCUGGAGGGCUGGAGUUUGGGGAAGCCUGCUUUACUGCAAAACAAGUUAACAUAUAUGACGUAGAUAAUCUGAACUCCAAAAAUAUUAAUAUUCCAUUUCCUGAGUAUCGUUUCAAAUUAACUGCAAAUUCAUGAAAGCAAAAAAUAAUAAUAUAAUAAAAGAUAAAAUAAAACAUAAAAGUUCUGAGAGCAAGGCAAAAUCGCUAUGGAAACUGAAUACAUGAUAUUGGACUUUAUGGAAUUAUAGCUUUUGUCAGCUUAUCAGUCAAUUAAUAAGAGCUCUAGGAAUAAAAAGGUGCUUAAGACAAAUGGAGAAAAAAAUUAUAAUUCUGACACCUUUUCAUUUAGGUGUGCCUGUAUUUCAUGCCAAUCUGAUAUAUACCCACUGCAUUCAUAUUCAUAUCACUAAUAAUAUCUGUAUUUGUUCUGCUUUUUAACAUUCUCAGUUACAUUCUGGGCUAAAUGUGCCUUUUCAGUAUGGUUUGAUUUAGAAAAAAAUAAUAAUAAUGAAAAUGAUGAUAAAAAAAGGAAUGGGGUUUACUUAUUAAUGUGUUAAUUCAUUAAUGUGCAUUGUCCAGUUAUUCAAAUGGCCCAGGUAGUAUAUAUUGGGGCAUUUCAGAAACCAUUUCAUUUCAGGGGAAUCAACACUUUUCAUUGGGAUGAUGGUAUUAGCGCUAAUUUUGCCUGGGAUCUAAUCCCCUACUCUAGCACUAUAAUCAGGGAGGACACUUUGGCCUGGCUAGGUAUUCCCCUGUCAUGUUUAACUUCUGGAUCAGAGUUUUAGAUACCCCUAACCCAUUAUUUAAAGAAUACCUUUGUGCAUGUGUGUGGCUUGGGCAGUGGCUUAACUCAACAUAAGUAAAAAGAUCUGAAGCCGUUGGUAUUUUUACCACUUAGCAACACUCCUAAUUUUUACCCAUCAUUCUCUCCUGGCUAGAGCACUCAAUCCAGAGAGAUACUCUAUGUAUAGCUCUGUGCGGAGAUCAUACUCACAAAAGCAGCACUGCAAAUAGGUUUAGCUGGGUGUAUCAUUACGUUGUUCACAGUUUGUCUCAAUAAAAACUUAGAUGAGAUAUCUGUGUUGACAGGACCUGAUUUUCCUACUGGCAAUGGCAAGGAUUCCUGCCAUUUGGUUUCCAAUUAGGUUUAAUCAGUUGUCCUUUUUCUCCACAGUGCCCCUUUCUCUCACUUAACAAUCUGUUUUUUUCUCUUUCUCGUCAGCUUUUAUCCCCAUUUUUUACCUCUGUUUCAUUUUCCUGAAGCUUGCAGUCUCUACGUACAGUAUAUCUCUGCUCGCUCUAUGCCAUUGAUUCUCUCCAAAAAAAAAUGGAAAGUAAUCCAGGCACUCCAAAGUAUGCCAAAAAAGGCAAUUUUAUUGGACCCAUGAACCAAAAAACAACAUUUCGACCCUAAGGUCUUUGUCAAGCUUGACAAAGACCUUAGGGUCGAAAUGUUGUUUUUUGAUUCGUGGGUACAAUAAUAUUGCCUUUUUUGGGAUACUUUGGAAUGCCUGGAUUACUUUCUAUUUUUCUAAAUUAUACAUUUGGUCCUUUGGUACUGGGACUGAUCCUGUUAGCACUUACAUAUGAAAUUAACUUUUAAUUCAUUUUGAAUCCCCAACAAUUUUAACUUUAAUGAAUUACCUUGUUAUUGUGUUUUGUCACGUUCUAUUCUUUUCUCUUCCCUGUCUAUUCUUUAACCCCUUAGUGACCAGACCUUUUUUCAAUUUUCUUACCAUUAAGGACCAGGGUUGUUUUUACAUUUCUGCAGUGUUUGUGUUUAGCUGUAAUUUUCCUCUUACGCAUUUACUGUAUUCACACAUAUUAUAUACUAAUUUUCUCACCAUUAAAUGGUCUUUCUGAACAUACCAUUAUUUUCAUCAUAUCAUAUAAUUUAUUAUAAAAAACUUAUAAAAUAUGAUGGAAAAAUUAAAAAAAAACUUUUUCAAACUUUGACCCCCAAAAUCUGUUACGCAUCUUUAACCCCCAAAAAUACCCAUGCUAAAUAGUUUCUAAAUUUUGUCCUGACUUUAGAAAUACCCAAGGUUAACAUGUUCAUAACUUUUUUUUUGCAAGUUAUAGGGCUAUAAGUACAAGUCCUAACUAUAAGAUAAGACUAGGGACAAAUGAAAGUAUUUAGAAAAUUGGGCAGACUAGAUGGGCCGAAUGGUUCUUAUCUGCCGUCACAUUCUAUGUUUCUAUGUUUCUAAGUAGGACAUUGCUGUUUCAAAAUAUAUAUUUGAAAAAUGUAUCAAUAGUGACAUUGUAACACUGUUAUCAGUCAUAAAUCACUGAAUCACACCUCACAUGUACAUUUUUUUUUUUAAAGUAGACAACCCAAGGUAUUCAAUAUGGGGUAUGUCCAGUUUUCUUAGUAGCCACUUAGUCAUAAACACUGGCCAAAGCUGGCAUUUAUAUUUGUUUGUGUGUUAAAAAUGCAAAAAAAACAAUUAUGAAUGCUAAAUUUGGCCAGUGUUUGUGACUAAGUGACUAUUAAAAAAAACUGAACAUACCCCAUUUGCGAUACCUUGGGUUGUCUUCCUUUGCAAAUGGUAUGCCAUCAUGGGGGUAAUUUUCAUUGCUGGGCUACCAUACACUCUCAAAGGCAACAUAACCAAUCUGGCAAAUUUCAAUAUGAAAAAAUGGAAAAUCAAGCCUUAUAUUUGACCCUGUAACUAAUAAAAACACUAUAAAACAGUAAAACAUAACACAACAAUGAUAUCAUCAGUGAAAGUGCCAUUUGUGAGUGAAAAAUGCAAAAAACUUCACUUUCACUGACAAUAUCAUCGCUGUGAUAUGUUUUACUGUUUUUAAACACUGACAUUUGUGUUCAGCGAAGUCUACCAAGUAAAACAGUACCACCCAUGUACAGGUUGUAGGGUGUCUUGGAAAGUUACAGGGUUAAAAAUAAUGCUAGCAAAUAAAAUUCUCUGGACUUUCGGCCUGGGUUGUCAGACAAGUCACCCAAAUUGCAAUCAAUAAAAUUACUUAAUUAUGUAAAAAUAUUACAUAAAUAUGCACGUAGAAUUUAAAUAUAUAUACAUAUAUAUAUAUAUAUAUAUAUAUGUAAUUAUGUAUAUAGACAUGUGUAUUUUGUAUUAAUUUUAUUUAUUUAUAUAUAUAUAUAUAUAUAUAUAUAUAUAUAUCAUUCUAAGUGUAUUUUGAUAUAAUAUAUAUAUAUAUAUAUAUAUAUAUAUAUUAAUAUCAACAUACAGUUAGAAUAAAAUUACAUGUAUAUUUUUUAUUAUUUUUCCAUUUUUUAUUUAUUUUUAAUAAUUUUUUUUUUUCUAAUAAUAUAUAUAUACAAUUAUUAUAUAUAUUAUAUAUAUAUAUACACAUGUGUAAUUUUACUUUAAGUGUAUUUUAUAUUAAUAUAUAUGUAUAUGUAUAUAUUAAUAAAAAUACACUUAGUAUAACAUUAUGUAUAAGAUAUAUAUAUAUAUAUAUAUAUAUAUAUAUAUGUGUGUAUAUAUGAAAUACACAAUCCAGCACACUUGCUUAUUCACUAAACAAUGAUAUUAAAUCUUUACAGAUUGUAAUAGUUUCAUUUAAAAACACCUCAUCUAGGCAAAAAACAAUAGGGGUAUAGUUACAUUAUAUGAUCAUAUAUUGCAUACGUCUGCCACAAUGUCAAUGUACCCCAUUCUUGGCAGGUCCUAUUCUAGCUACUCUUUAAUUUUUUAUUCUUCACUGAGUGCCACUCAGCACACAGGCAAAGCAUCAGAAUCCUGCCUGAUGGCUUCCGGUGCUCUGCUACACUGCCGGGGAGCGAUCACCCGGCGGCACGGCAGUCAGGGGAGGUAUUGCAGGAUGCCUCGACAUCGACGCAUUUGCCGUGGACAUACCAGGUACAUCCAAAGUCUCUAACAACCAUUUUUUGUCAGGCAUACCUGGUACGUCUGUGGACAUUAAGGGGUUAAACAGUGAGUUGAAAUAUAACUUUAAACAUUUAGGCCAAACUAGAAGUGUAAAACAUCACCAUCUCAAUUCCGCUAUUUUGACUUAAAGGACCACUAUAGUGCCAGGAAAACAUACUCGUAUAGUGCCCUGAGGGUGCCCCCGGCUCUGGGGAGAGGAAAGGGGUUAAAACUUACCUUUUUCCAGCGCUGGGCGGGGAGCUCUCCUCCUCCGAUCCUCCUCCUCUCCUCCCAUUCGGCUGAAUGCGCACGUGCGGCAAGAGCUGCGCGCGCAUUCAGCCUGUCUCAUAGGAAAGCAUUUAUAAUGCUUUCCUAUGGACGCUUGCGUGCUCUCAUUGUGAAAAUCACAGUGAGAAGCACGCAAGCGCCUCUAGCGGCUGUCAAUGAGACAGCCACUAGAGGGAAUGGGGGAAGGCUUAACCCAUUCAUAAACAUAGCAGUUUCUCUGAAACUAUGUUUAUGAAAAAAUGGGUUAACCCUAGCUGGACCUGGCACCCAGACCACUUCAUUAAGCUGAAGUGGUCUGGGUGCCUAGAGUGGUCCUUUAAGUUUUAAAAGAUUUUUCAAAUCAGUGUUUAGUGAAUAGAUUCCCAAGUGUCUAAUUACCUGUUCUUGUUUAAGAGAUACAGGCCAGGACAUCUAGUAGAAAAUGUCUGGGAAGCUGGGAAGACAUUUAGGAAACAGAGACAGACUAGGGAGAAAUUUAGGGAACAGAGAUGGACCAGACUGGGAAGACAUUUAGGCAGGAAAAAAAGACAGACUGAAGAGACGUUUAGGGAAAGGAGACAGACAGAGUAGGCAUUUAAGGAAAGCAGAUGCACCAGUGAGAAAUUCAUUGUCUCCCUGGUCUGCUUUCUUUCCCUGAAUUUCUCACUGGUGCAUCUGCUUUCCUUAAAUGUCUACUCUGUCUCCUUUCCCUAAACGUGUACAUACAUACACACACACACACAUAUAUCCACACACACUGCCUAAUACAUACAAUUAACCAUAAAUGCACACUGCCAAAUACAUACAUACACACACACAUUGCCCAAUACAUACAUCCAUACACACACUGCCCAAUACAUAUAUCCACACAUGUACACUGCCUAAUACAUACAAUUAACUAUACACACACACUGCCCAAUACAUACAUCCAUGCACAUAUACUGCCAAAUGCAUAUAAGUACACACAAGCACACUGCCUAAUACAUACAUACAUAUACACACACACACUGCCUAUUACACACAAUAAACCAUAUACACACACUGCCUAAUACAUGCAUACACACACACACACUGCCUGAUAGAUGCAUACAUCCAAACACACACUGCCCAAUACAUACAUCCACACACACACUGCCUGAUGCAUACAUACACACACUGCCUGAUGCAUACAUACACACACACUGCCAAAUACAUACAACCAUACACACACUGCCCAAUAUUUAUAUUUACACACGCACUGCCUACUACAUAUAUUUAACCAUACACACACUGUCUGAUACAAAUAUUUAACCAUACACACACUGUCUGAUACAUAAAUUCAGACACACACUGCCCAAUGCAAACAUCCAUACACACAUGCUGCCUAAUACUUACAAUCAAUCAUACACAUACACUGCCCAUUACACACAUACGGCCCAGUACAUACAUCCAUGCACACAUACUGCCUAAUACAUACAUGUAUACAUACAUACAUACACACACACACACAAACAUACUGCCUAGUGCAUGCUUUUUUCUUUGAAUACAUAAUUUAUUGUUGUGAUAAAUUAAUUUAAUGCAUUUGGUAGGAUUUAAUUCAUAAAAAUGAAUUUAAUUUCUGCUACAGUGAACUUGUAUGAUAGACUCAUGUUAUGUAAAACAUUUUUUUAGUAGAAUAUGAUAUAUAUUAUGAAUAUAAUUUAAUAUAUAAGGACUAUUUACAUGGUGACACACACAUACUCACUGACAUACACACAAAAUGUCACUUACACACUAAAACAGACAGGGGCGGACUGACCACUCGGGCACUUCGGUCAUGGACCGAGGGCCAGAGGCAGUCAGGGGCCCAGCAGCACAGCCUUGUUCCAGCUGGAGAGAUCAGAGAUCUCUCCAGCUGGAACGGAAAAAUAAUAAAAUAAAACUUUUUAAUUGAUAGGUUGUGGGGCCCCUGAUGCAGCGCGGGGCCCCACAACCUACCGCUCUGCACAUCCCCCCCCCCCACCAUGAGACCUGGCAGCUUCACCUCCUCCCUGCCAGGUCUCCUGCUUCCUCUCCCAUGCGGCUCUGUGUGAUGGGAGAGGCGGGGCCAGGAAGUGACAUCACUUCCUGUUUACUCCUCUCACACAGAGCCCAGCAUGGAGAAGGAGCAGCAGGCGGGGAGAGAAGAGGGAGCAGAGAUGCAGGUAGGCACCAACCACCCCCUUCCCCCCCCCUCACUAUCACCAGUCACCCCCCUCACUGUCACCAGUCACCCCCCCACUGUCACUAGUCACCCCCCACUGUCACUAGUCACCCCCCCACUCUGUCACCCCCUCACUGUCACUAGUCACCCCCCCACUGUCACUAGUCAUCCCCCCUCACUGUCACUAGUCACCCCCACUGUCACUAGUCACCCCCACUCUGUCACCCCCACUGUCACUAGUCAUCCUCACUGUCACUAGUCACUUCCCCACUGUCACCAGUCACCCCCACUGUCACUUCAGUCAUCCUCUCACUGUCACAGUCAUCCCCUCAUCGUCACUAGCUCUACUGUCACUAGUCACCCCCCUUCCGUCACUUCAGUCACCCCCACUGUCACUAGUCACUCUCACUGUCACUAGUCACCCCCACUGUCACCAGUCACCCCCACUGUCACUAGUCACUCCCCACUGUCACUAGUCACUCCCUACUGUCACCAGUCACCCCCCCACUGUCACUAGUCACCCCCCUCACUGUCACUAGUCACCCCCCUCUCUGUCACUAGUCACCCCCCUCUCUGUCACUAGUCACCCUCUCCCUCACUCUGUCACUAGUCACCCUCUCCCUCACUCUGCCACUAGAGUGAGGGGAUGACUGGUGACAGAGUGAGGGGAUGACUGGUGACAGAGUGAGUUAGGGGGUGACUAGUGACAGAGUAAGGGAGAGGGAGGUGACUAGUGACAGAAGGAGGGAUGGAGUAGUGACAGAGGGAGGUGGUGACUAAUGACAGUCACCACCUCCCUCACUCUGUCACUAGUCACCCCUUCCCUCACUCUGUCACUAGUCACCCCCUCACUCUAGUGACAGUGAGGGAGGGUGUGACUAGUGACAGAGUGAGGGAGGGAAGUGGUGACUAGUUGACAGCGUUAGGGAGGGAAGGGGUGACUAGUGACAGAGUGAGGAAGGGGGUGACUAGUGACAGACGGAGGGGUGACUAGGGACAGAGUGAGGGAGGUGGUGACUAGUGACAGUCACCACCUCCCUCACUCUGUCACUAGUCACCACCUCCCUCACUGUGUCACCCCCUCCCUCUGUCACUGGUCACCCACUCCCUCCCUCACUCUGUCACUGGUCACCCACUCCCUCCCUCACUCUGUCACUAGUCACCCCUUCCUUCCCUCUGUCACUAGUCACCCCUUCCCUCACUCUGUCACCUGUCACCCCCCUCACUCUGUCACUAGUCACCCCCCUCACUCUGUCACUAGUCACCCCCCUCACUCUGUCACUAGUCACCCCCUCACUCUAGUGAAAGAGUGAGGGAGGGUGUGACUAGUGACAGAGAGAGGGAGGGUGUGACUAGUGACAGAGAGAGGGAGGGGGUGACUAGUGACAGAGAGAGGGAGGGGGUGACUAGUGACAGUGAGGGAGGGGGUGACUAGGGACAGAGUGAGGGAGGGUGUCACUAGUGACAAAGAGAGGAAGGGGGUGACUAGUGACAGUCACCACCUCCUUCACUCUGUCACUGUGUCACCCCCUUCCUCACUCUGUCACUAGUCACCCUCUCUCUCACUCUGUCACUAGUCACCCCCUCCCUCACUCUGUCACUAGAUUUAGGGGGUGACUAGUGACAGAGUGAGGGGGUGACAGAGUGAGGGAAGGGGAUGACUGGUGACAGAGUGAGGGAGGGGAUGACUGGUGACAGAGUGAGGGAGGGGGUGACUAGUGACAGAAGAAGGGAGGGAGUAGUGACAGAAGGAGGGAGGGAGUAGUGACAGAAGGAGGGAGGGAGUAGUGACAGAGGGAGGUGGUGACUAGUAACAGUCACCACCUCCCUCACUCUGUCACUAGUCACCCCUUCCUUCCCUCACUCUGCCACUAGUCACCCCUUCCCUCACUCUGUCACUAGUAACCCCCUCACACUAGUGACAGAGUGAGGGAGUGACAGAGAGAGGGAAGGGGGUGACUAGUGACAGAGUGAGGGAGGGGGUGACUGGCACUAGUCACCCCAUCCCUCUCUCUGUCACUAAUCACUCCCUCCUAACUCUGUCACUGUGUCACCCCCUCCCUCACUCUGUCACUAAUCACCCCUCUGUACUUAGUGACAGAGUGAGAGAGGGGGUGACUAGUGACAGAGUGAGGAAGGGGGUGACUAGUGACAUAGUGAGAGAGGGGGUGACUAGUGACAUAGUGAGAGAGGGGGUGACUAGUGAAAGAGAGAGGGAGGGGGUGACUAGUGACAGAGAGAGGGAGGGGGUGACUAGUGACAGUCACCACCUCCUUCACUCUGUCACUAGUCACCCCUUCCCUCACUCUGCCACUGGUCACCCCUUCCCUCACUCUGUCACUAGUCACCCCCUCACUCUAGUGACAGAGUGAGGGAGUGACAGGUGACAGAGUGAGUGACUAGUGACAGAGUGAGGGAAGGGGUGACUGUCACUAGUCACCCCAUCCCUCUGUCACUAGUCACUCCCUCCUAACUCUUCACUGUGUCACCUGCUCCCUCACUCUGUCACUAGUCACCCCCUCCCUCACUCUGUCACUAAUCACCCCCUCUGUCCUUAGUGACAGAGUGAGAGAGGGGGUGACUAGUGACAGAGUGAGGGAAGGGGUGACUGUCACUAGUCACCCCAUCCCUCUGUCACUAGUCACCCCCUCCUAACUCUGUCACUGUGUCACCUGCUCCCUCACUCUGUCACUAGUCACCCCCUCCCUCACUCUGUCACUAAUCACCCCCUCUGUCCUUAGUGACAGAGUGAGAGAGGGGGUGACUAGUGACAGAGUGAAGAAGGGGGUGACAUAGUGAGGGAGGGGGUGACUAGUGACAUAGUGAGAGAGGGGGUGACUAGUGACAGAGUGAGAGAGGGGGUGACACAGUGACAGAGUUAGGGAGGGAGUGACUAGUGACAGAGAGAGGGAUGGGGUGACUAGUGACAGUCACCCCCUCUCUCACUCUGUCACUAGUCACCCCCUCUCUCACUCUGUCACUAGUCACACCCUCUCUCACUCUGCCACUGUGUACUUAGUGACAGAGUGAGAGAGGGGGUGACUAGUGACAGAGNNNNNNNNNNNNNNNNNNNNNNNNNNNNNNNNNNNNNNNNNNNNNNNNNNNNNNNNNNNNNNNNNNNNNNNNNNNNNNNNNNNNNNNNNNNNNNNNNNNNAUAUUUUUUAUAACAAUAAUUAUAUAUAUAUUUAAUCAGUAUCAGUCUACGUGUAGUUUGAUAUUAAUAUAUAUAUAUAAUUAUAUAUAUAUUAAUAGUAAAAUACACCUAGACGGUGUACGUGUGUGUAUGUAUAUGUGUAUAUAUAUACUUAGAUCAUAUAUAUAUACUAUUUAUUUUAUUCAUUUUUAUUUUCAGCCAGCAGGGGGACCACCUGUCAUUACAGGCAGCCCCCCUGCUGGCAAUGCUGCAGUCAGCUACCCCCGGCCAUGUGAUUGUGGGGUCCUCGCAAGGACCCCACUCUCACAUGGCCGGGGGGCUUCCAGGAGGACGGAGGUGCCGCGGGGGGCUCCCUGGGAGUCCCCCGAACCGCGAUCGCCGGUGUGGGAUCGCCGGCGGCCGGGUAAGUAGGAAAAGAACGGAGGGCGUACUAUUACGCCCGGCGGUGUUUAGAGCCACUUAGAAUAGGGCGUAAUAGUACGCCCUCCGGUCUUAAGGGGUUAAAGGGAAACCUGUUAUAUUUAUGUUUUCAUUUGCUGCUGCCUCAUAUGUAAACUUACAAAUAAAGUGCAUUAAAAGACUGUGCAUGUUUUUGCCCUAGAGGACCGUGCUACUUGCUGACAAGGAUCACAGUAGGUAUAGGUAUAGGUAUUGUUAAAUGCAAUGAUACCUUUUUUAUUGCACUAACAUAAUAUUUCAAAGACAAGCUUUCGAGAGUUGUCCUCUCUUCCUCAGGACUGAAGCAAUAGACCUAUACAAUUUAGUUUUAUUUCUUUCGAGAUGCCUUUUAUGCUUUUUUAAUUCCGAACUCUACGAGUUGCACGUUGUGUGUUUUUCUGAGCUAAUUAUUUGUGGCUUAAUUUGCCAUGAUGCUCAUUUUUUAUCAGUAUUUUUUUGUCUGGUUAGUGAGUUUACAUGGCCAGUGUGUGCUAGCUCAGUGGGCUCAGUGUAAAAUUAUUAAGGAUGUUGUAGUCCAAUAACAGUUUAACCCCUUAAGGACACAUGACACGUGUGACAUGUCAUGAUUCCCUUUUAUUCCAGAGGUUUGGUCCUUAAGGGGUUAAUGGCCAUUGUUGUACAUCCAACUCUAGAAAAUGGCAAAGAUUAUGAUUUUCCAGAUAAGCCUAUUAAUGCAUGAUUUUGUUAAGUCUGGCACUCAAGAGGAACAUUUCCUGAAUGAAAAUAAUUUGCUAAUGUAACUGUAGUUGUUUAGAAUGUAUUGUACUCUGUCUACUCUGUUUUUACAGAGGUUUUCCGCAGUGGUGCUUGGCAAGUCAUAAUUGCGUGAGAAUAAUUGGAAUCUUUCUCAGGCUGAAAGUGAUGUCAUGAAAGGGUUAUAUUAACGUGUGCUUUGUUGUUGAAAGCAGUAUCCAAUUAUGACACUCCUAUUUGUGGUCAGAUAUUUGUUUUAUUGAUAUUUUUCAGCAUGAUAAAGGUUGCUUGUCUGCCAACAUGUUGGUCCUUUUGAAAUAAUUUCUAAUAAAUAUCCAACUUGAAUUAACGUGUUAUUUAGAUUGCGUUGGCAUCAGUUAAAAUGUCCUUUCUUAUCCAAGAGCUCUCCAUUAGCUUUUUGUUCUUUUCCUUGAUUAUGGGUUUACCAAUCUUCUUAUUUUUGUGAGUUUAUAUUGCUGAAUGCGUGUAUAUGUGACUGCUCCAAAUUGUCAGAUUGCCAAAUCUGUGAUGUAAUUCGAAAUAUAAGGUAUCUGCAGUUUAAAGCAUACAGUUAAAUGCUAUCCCCAUCAGUUAAAUUACUAUAUUCUAAGGUAGCUGUCAUGAACCUGAAAUACAAUACAUCAUCAAAUGUAAACAAUCAAAUAACUGUGAACAGAAUUGUACAAACAGUGAAUUACAGUCUCAAUUAUCCUAAUUGCCUUGAGUUGUUCUCCAUCUAAAUUAAUAGGUAGCUUUGCUUAAUUAUAACAAUGAGGCUGGGUGCUUCAAUGUAGUCUUUAAACAAAAUGCCUAAAGAAGUGGUACUUUAACAUGCAAUAAUUAUAUUUAGCGAAUUUCCACUUGUGUUGUGUUUGUUAUUGUCUUACAGUGUUGAACUUUUCAUUUUCCCCUUUUUUAUUGUUUGUUUUUGUUUUGCUGUUUUCUUCUUUUCUUUUUCUUUCUUUUUUUAUUGCUUCUUGUUCCUAUUUUGAAAGCAUAACAUAUUCGCUAGUGGAAUCUUUAUUAUUCAUGGACCAAAUGGCAGAAAAUAAUUCACAUACCAUGUGAGGGAAAACACAUAGAGACUUUUAUGCUAUCCUUAGAAUACUUGGACUACAUCUACUGCAGUUUUAAGAAGUUUUACUUUUGAUAUAAAAACACAUGUUUUUUUUCUUACAUUGGAGACCUCUGGUCUUUGUAUUGUCUGUGCAUAAAUGUUACAUUGUAUAUCAUGUGUGGCAGUAUAGAAAUCUUAUGUUUGUGGACAUAAAAAUAGGAAUUAGAUGACUAAGGGCAGCUUUAAUGUAACAUAGACAGUUUUUUACACUCCUUGUAAAAAUGUUAUCACAUUUUAUCACAUUUCUAUCACAGAUACUCUGUUCUUUAUGUUGAAUAUCUUGUCUGGAUCAGAAUUCACUAAAACCACUGAAAGCUUCUAGAUCACACAAUCUUCACUCGUAGUGCUCACACUAGAUCAGGCUUCCCCAAGCCCUGGCCCUCCAGAUGUUUCUGAACUACAACUCCCAUGAUUCUCAUCUUAUCUAUUUCAUUCAUAGAAUCAUGGUAAUUGUAGUUCAGCCACAUCUGGAGGGCCAGAGUUUGAGGAAGCCUGCACUAGAUGAAUAGGAGGGUAUGUGGCCUGAGAGAUUCUGUCACACAACACUCGUUUCAAUGUCACCAUCCAUCAAUUAGCCACCGUAUGCCAACCAAUAUUAAAAUUAGUGAUUUCUUCCUCUGCUUUUUCUCAGCUAUUUUUGGCAGUUCUUGAGUUAACUUGGCAUCGCAAAAAAAAAAUUCAGUGCAAUGACUUCCUAAAGAAGGCUGACAAGCCAGACAUUUCAUACACAUAGACUACUCUGAUGAAGACAAGUAUGGGAAUCAUUGUUACCAGAGUUUGCUUGCAGUGUAUAGUCUCUAUUAUCAGACAUAAUGGGAGAGAAGUUUCAGUGUCAUGUUCUAGAAUGCGGUGCAACGUUCUAAACGUGAAAUAACCAAUAGAUGUGUGCCUGCUGGUUCCACUGGUUUCCAUGGUUACUGAAUCUUUUUUAGAACUUUGCACCAUUUUUCAGGACAUAACACUCCCCUAACUCUAUAAUAAACCUUAACUCCCCUAACUAUAUAAUAAAGGUAAUUGUUACAGGAAUAGUGUCUGAUAGUAAAAAAUGAGCGAUCACUGCAUAGUACUAAUAAACUGGUAAACCGGGUGAUAAACAGCUCGAUUUCUCAUUAGGCAUAUUGGUCAGUUACAGUUAACCACUUCAUACAUAUAAACUAGAUCACACAUUUAAUUCACCCUUUUCCAUGGUUGCAGGAUCCUGCUACAUUGUUAUUUAAAUCAUAAAUAUUCUUAAAUGAACAAUGUCUGAAGUUUCACUGCCUAUUCUAUUCUAAUAUUUUCAGUUUACUUAAUUUAUUUAUUUUCUGUGUGUAGCAAAUAAUGUCUUUAUACAUAUAUAUAGUAAUAAUAUAUAUAUAAUUGUGUUUGUAUUUUUUUUUUCUGCUCCUCUUCGUCCCUCUAUUGGUUGUUUUUUUCUCACUUGAUCUGUCAACCAAAUGGUGGGAAAAUGUACCUAUCAGUUUAUUGCAAAAUAUAGACAUAAUAUUUAUAUAUUGGCCUAUUUUCAUGCCCUUUUUGGCUAAUACAAAUCAUUUUCCCAAACCUUUUUACGGACGAUGCUCAGAAUACUCAAACUGCUACAUGAACGAGUGUAGUGGUCCCAAAUAAAUGCAGUUAUCAGAAAAAAAUGGUUAAUUUGAACACAAUUUUUUUUGCCAUACACAAUUCUACUUAAUAGACAUUUUACAAUCACUUCUAACACACCAUGCAGCUAAAGUACAGUUACAUUGUGAUAUAUCAAAUCGAAUAUGCAAUGGUAUCUACUUAAAAGGUUUAUAUAAUAUAUGUAAAUCAUCAAGAAAACCAUAUAAACUGUGCAUUUAUUUUACUAUCAUAUUGUGCAUUAAAUAAGACUAAAUGUAUUAUAGUAGAGUUGGAUUGUUGAGUAAAAGCAAAGGUUAAAAAAAAAAAUGAAAAGUAAGAAUAAAUUACACUCAAGUUUAUGACUAAUUAUUAUGACCCACUACCAAAUAAGCCAAUAAGCGUAUAUUAAUGUAUUAAAGGCAAUUGCAAGUUUAAUAUACUGGAAGCAGGCCCGGACUGGCGAUCGUUCAUACAGGGCAAAUGCUCAGUGGGCCGCGAUGGCCAUGGGCCUAAGCCGGCAGGGGAGAUAGUACCAACCCUGCUGUGUGCCUUCAUGGGCCAGUGGGGAGAUCAAAGAUCUCUCUCACCAUCCCACAGGCAGUUACAAGUGACCACCGGCUGGGGAGGGAGGGAGAGGAGGAACCAGUGGAGCUCUUACCUGCAGUUCCGCCAAGUUCCUCUGGCGAGGUCGGAGUGUUGCCGCGGUUACCACAGCAAAGCUCAGAUCUCGUAAGAGUGAACUCUAGCCUUGCAGGCUAGAGCUCAUUUACCACUAGGACCACCAGGGAUGGCAGCACAGUCCCCACUCCCAGGCUAAAUGUAAGAAGGGAGGGGGGGGAUAUAAAGUUUUGUAGAUUUAAAUAUAUUUAAAUCUACCCCCCCACAAACACACAAUCGCAAACAUAGUCACACACAUUACUCACACACACACACACACACACUCACUCACACUAACAGAACCCUCACACACACAGUACCCUCAGACACACACAGCACCCUCACACUAACCGCACCCUCAGACACACACACAGCACCCUCAGACACACACACAGCACCUUCAGACACACACAGCACCCUCACACACAGCACCCAGACACACACAGCACCCUCACACACAUCACCCACACACACACAGCACUCUCACACACACAGCACUCUCACACAGCACCCUCGCACACACAACUCCCUCAUACACACAGCACCCUCACACACACACAGCACCUUCAGACACACACAGCACUCUCAGACCCACACAGGACCCUCAUACACACAGCACCCUCAGACACACAGCAACCUCACACACACAGCACCCUCAGACACACACAUCACCCUAACACACACAUAUAUAAUAUAUAAAAUAACCCUAAGGUAAUUAACAGACAAAGAAAAUUAGAAACAAAGAAAGUGACAGCAGAUAAGAACACUCUCAUACACACAGCACCCCUCUUACACACACACACUGCACCCCUCUUACACACAAAUAUGCUGCACCCUUCACUCCUAAACACAGCACAUCCAACACACCGCGCCCCGGGCUGAAUUUUUUUUCCCAGUCCGGUGCUGAUUGGAAGUAUUCUAUAGAAGAAUGCUUAUUUCAUUGGAAAUAUUAAGUAUUUUUCAGGUGUGUCAGAAUGUAUAUUUAACCUCUUAACUAUUACUAUGAAUUUAUUAGAAUUAUCAAUUCAUUUUCCAGAUGAUUUCAAACAACUUGUGUUACUAACUUCAGUAACUAAUGUUAUCUUUUUAUGUAUUAUGCAUAGUUUGUAAAUUAAUUUAUCAUAACAGAAAACCAUUUUAAUCCAUGAAACAGCUGUGUGCACAGGCUGCUUUCAGUACUCUUUAUGAAUUCUAAAGUAGCUCUUAUUCAAAGCAAUAUCUGCAUUUGGCAGAUACAAUUAAAUAUGGUCCCAAGAAUACAGUCAUUAGUUAAAAAUUCACUUAUACUUGAUAGUAAUUCUUUCUGUGUAAUAGAAGAGCAGACACCACAUAUUUUUAUAAAGAAAAAAAUGCUGAUGACAGAAAAUGUGAAUUGUUAUUUUCUAAACCAAGUUCUAUUUUUCCCAUGUAAAAGCACUCUGUUACCAAGUGACAGAAAUGUGAUUUCUAGAUCUAAAAUACAUUGAAUUAAAACAUUUAAGAAUGUAAAUAGGGCUUUAUUUUUUUAUAUAUUUUUUUUUUAUCAAUGCCUAUAAAAAUCUCAGAAAAUGCAGAUAUGUAUAGGUUGUAUAAAUGUUCACUGUACAUAUAGUUACAUAUCGGAAAAGCUAAAUGUGUCUAUCAAGUUCAGCCUUUCUCACAUUUGUUUUUGCAGUUGAUCCAUAAGAAGGCUAAAACCCUAUUUGCAGCGCUUCCAAUUUUGCAACAAACUAGGGGAAAAAUCUCUCUUGACCCCAGAAUGGCAGUUAGAUAUCUAAUUGGAUGAACAAUCUAUUUCAGUUUAUUUUCUAACAUUUCUGUUUAAUGCCAAAAAUUUGGUUUGGGAACAAAAUCGGGGUCCCAGACCUUUGAUGGAUGCUGUCCAAAAGUCCAAUAACCACUCUUUGGUUUAUUUUUAUUUGUUUUUCACUUUUUAUUCUUUUUUAUUCUUUUUUUGUAUGUAUAAUUUUUCUAUAUUGGUUUGUCCCUUUUUAUAUUUUUAUAUAUUUUGUUCCCUGGACACAUUAUCAUGGUUUUCUCUAUUUUCUAUAUUUAUGUACAUUUUACCAUGUCACCUAUCUCCUAUAUAUCAUACUUGUAUUACUUUCCUGGCUAUAUGCGUUUCAGGGUGAAACACUGAACUUUAUAAUAUGCAUUUAGAAAGACUUCAACUACAUACGUUUAGCGUGAGACGAACACCUCCCUCAAUAUCCAUGCACAUAUGGAGGUGGAAUCGAAAAACAUAGUCAGAAGAAGGAUGUGAGUUCCACCAUGGAACACAUGUGGCACAUUGAGGAAGAAUUAACAGAGAAUGGUGGGGGGAGGACCCCAAUUAAGCCUAGCGUACAAAAUUAGGAGCAACUUCCCAGAUGGACAUAUCCCUGAAGAAGUCUAUUCGAGAUUAAAUGGCUUGUUGAAUCGGUGUAGACCAUGAAAAAACAUGAAGCGUUCUUACUCAAAGCUAUAUGGCACUUUCCCCUGAAGUGCAGCCAUUAUAUGUUGCUCUUCAAGAAUGCAAAAUAACAUCUUGAGAGGCAGCAGUAGGUGCCCAAACAGAUUGGGCAAUUCGAUUGGCUCCAUCGAAGCUUAGGUGUUUGGCUUGAUUUGUGGACCUUGUCUUGGCCCUGAGGUGUCAAAUAAAAUGUGGAAGUUCCUUCAGAGUCUGACUCCUUUGGUCAAAGGAAGUCAGGCGUAGGAAAAAUACAUAAGACAAAGUAGUCCUUACUUUAUCUUUUGUUUCUUAUUGUUUCCUCUUCUCCUCCUCUCUCAAAAAAGAGGAAAUAAUAGGAGAAAGGUACGUUCGGCAUGACAUUGCCACAUUAAUAGUUGUCCAUUUGUUUUUUUCUUUAAAUGCAUCUCCUUUUUUUCUCAAAAUACACCUUUGGUGAUUGUGACCAUACAGCCUAAUAUUGCACAUGGGUAUUCUUUUUACAUAACCUGUACCACUAAACUGUUCCAAUAAAUGCUAGGACUCAUCUUUGAUUGCAUAUGCAGGAUAUACUGCACUGGUAUCUGGUUACUAUAUGACCUUCUAUUCAUCUAGUUCUCUGGCAAUAUUCUUAUUAGUAAUUAUUCUAUAGAGGACAAUGAAUAGCCAUAACUUGUGAGACCUCAAGGAAGUGACAACCUCUUCUUUCUUGGCAACUCAAAAUUACUCAGACUCCGUUUAUUGUAUAAGGAGCCAGCUUGCAAAGAUCACGGCAUACAGUAAAAAAACAUUGUACUGACAAUUUCACCAGUGGGAAUACAGAAUAGGGCAAAUAGAACACACAGGAAAGAACUGGCUACAAAGUGAUUCAUUACACUAGUUCUUUCCCCCAUUUGCAAGCCCACUCUGACAAUAAAUGAUAAUCUUGAUUGUACCCACUGUCUCUUCAGAGCAAUCUCUGGUUACAUCAAUACAGCCCUUUGCUGUAGUAGGUAACAUGUAGACUUGCUGGCUCCAACAGCAGGUGGUCCCUCACAGUACAGCAUUUAACUUGAUUAACCCACAAAAUACAUUUCACAACUGACUAUACCUUUUGCCAGCAAAGAGAGCUGUGGUCCCUCCUCCUCUGUUAACCCUCUGAUCCAUAUUGUCAUACCUCGGUAUGCUGCACAACACAUGCGGCUUCCAGGGUGUGCCACAUAGCAGCCUUGAAGUCUCCAGUCCCACGCCAUCCCGGCCACAGUGAACGUCGUGUGGAGUUCGGUUACUCCUCGUGUAGAGCAGCCCCUACGCGAUCUGUCUUCUGUCAAGGCUUCCAGAUCAUUAUGGCAGCCUUGCGCCACGUACAGGAGUCCUCGGAAAUUACAGGACCCUGUAGUUGCAGUCUUUUUAUAGCAUUAAAGUGACAGGUCAUAUUAUUGGGACAUAUCAUCAGCCCAUCACAAGUCAUACCCCUUUGUGUGUGCAGAGUGAUGAUGCUAUCCAAUAAGAUUUUUGUUCUCCCUAUUUAAACUUGCCUCUUUCUGGAGAUCACUGCCCUGUCGUGGUUUAUACUGCCCAAGAGUGCUUACAGAAUCUUCAACUGUCCAAGAUUUUGCUAAGAGUUUUCUUUUUUACUGUUACAGGUAAGAUGAAUCUAUAGGAAAAGGUUGCUAAUUGCACAGGGUUUGAUUUCCUGUUGGUAACUGGUAAGGCAUUUGAUUUGAUUAGCUAGGUACUUGCUAUUGAUUGUUGGUUAAUUAGCUAUUGUUUGCAAAUAAGCAUAGGCCUACCCAUGUGUUAAAAAUGCCUAGUGGGUGGUGCUUUUAGGAGUUAUAUAAGGGUUGUGGUCAUUAGCUUGGCUAAUAUAGCUUGGUUGCUACAGCUAAGUGCUGCUUCUAAGUGUGUGAUUGGAGAGAUUCUGGAGGUAAUCUGAGGUAUACAAGAGGGGGAGGAGUUAAGAUUUGUUUAAUUUAAAUUAUUCACCUUAUUAAAAUGACAGACUUAGUUCAGUGUAAUAGAGGUUUGGAUGUUUUCUAAUCUGUAGACAAUUCUCUAUAUUGCUGCAGGAGAUUGUAUUUUUGAAGUCUGAGAUUUGUAAAUUAUCUGGUAAACAAACUCAGGCUGGAACUGCUGCAAAGGCACUGCCGCAGAGACAUACUAGGAAUUUCAGAUUGAUUACUGUAGGAUCUGGUAGAUGUAGAGUUGUGGAUAAAAGGUAUAUUGCACAGUCUGUUGCUCUACAUUAUUAAUUUUCAGCACUUUCAGAGUGUAAUGUUGUUAUGGAGACAGGCUCAGGCACUGAGGCUAGUGGUGUUGUGGAGACAGGCUCAGACACUGAGGCUAGUGGUGUUGUGGAGACAUUCUCAGGCACCGAGUGUAGUGGUGUUGUGGAGACAGGCUUGGAGACUAUGGUGAGGCCUAAUAGGAAGCAGUUGUUGCUGGGGGAUUCUAUCAUAAGAGGUGUGGAGCUGGACAAUAGUGGUGCUGUGCGAUAUCUUCCCGUAGCUACUACUCACAGAGACAGGAGACGUAUUUGUAAUAUUGUUAAGCAAGCAAAGCAGGAAGGGGAAUUGGAUGUACUUGUCCAUCUAGGGGCAAAUGACUUGGCUUGCAAUGAGGUUUCAGGGGUAAAAUGAGUUUUUAGUGUUAUUGCCAAUGAUAUACGGCAGGUCGCUUCCACACUGUCAUUCUCUGAAGUUCUGCCUGUGUGUCAGGUUAUACCUGCCGUGCCUUUGCCGAACUAACCCACUUCCGGGUUCACGGAGCUUCGCCCCGCCCCUUUUUCUGACGCGGUCUUUCCACGCUACAUAGGAAGACCGCGCCAGAUUCAAAGGGCUGGAUUAUUGUACAGGUGUCUGUGAAACACUUACCAGCUGCUCUUUUUGAUCUAACCGUGUACCGAAAAUCGCUCUGGAACGACUAACCUCCUUCUCCACUCCUCGACCUCGGCUUGUUAAACGGACUUCAAUUCCUCUCUUCAACUACUUGAUUAAAUUAAGCUCUCCAGUUCCAGAACUGCCUCUUAAGCUAAGUACUGUUUUCUUCAAUCAAGUUACUCUCAGUUACUAAUAAGAAACUGCUUCUAAGGCUCAAUUCUGUUUCCUUCAAUCAAGUUACUCUCAGUUACUAAUAAGAAACUGCAUCUAAGGCUCAAUUCUGUUUCCUUCAAUCAAGUUACUCUCAGUUACUAAUAAGAACUGUUUCUAAGGCUAAAUACUACUUCCUUCAAUCAAUUUAUUCCUAGUUGCAAACUCUGUCUUGCCUCAUUGAUAAAUUUGCUUGUAGUUAUUAUACAACAUUUAAUUCAACCUAACUCUGCAUGCAUUCUCUGCACUAUUCUUAAUUGGGACUGUUUGGCUCUGUGCAAAUCUUCAGUGGCUUAUUUUUUCCCUGCAAUUAACAACCUGCUUGAGGGUUUAAAGCUACAGUAUUCUCUCCUCCACAUCAGAAACAAAAAUAGGUAAAACUAUCAAUUUCUGUAAUUAAAAAUUCUGCAGUUGCGUUCCAAAUAAGUUAGUAUUACAGAAUAAUCCAGCCGUCAUCCAAUGGAACCAGCAGAUAUUAAUUCACAAGUCUCUGCCCUGACAAACAGAGUGGAUACAAUUGCUCAGGGUUUACAAGAAUUGCAGAUUACAAAUGAGAGAAUAUUAACUUAUGUCAGAGACAUACAAGGUCAUCUUCCUCAUGCCGCUCUUCAAUCGGCUAGCGAUCCUGCUGUCUGCAAUCCAGAAAAAUUUUAUGGAGAUAGAUCAAAGUACAGAGAGUUUUUGAAUUCUUGCAAACUUCUAAUAGCUUUAAGACCCAGAUCUUAUCUCACUGAAAGAUCUAAGGUCUGUUCUGUGAUCUCUUUUUUAAGAGGUGAACCUAUGGCCUGGGCACAUUCCUUUCUAGAGAAUGAUGAUCCCAUAUUAGAUUCAUUGGACGAGUUCUUUGAAACUAUGUCUUUAUUAUAUGAAGAUGCUUAUAAACAAACUACUGCAGAUUUAACCAUCAGAACUCUACACCAAAAGAAUAGACCUGUUGAAGUUUAUAUUGCAGAAUUUAAAAGAUGGGCUACAGAAACCCAAUGGAACGACAUUACCUUACGCAAUCAGUUCCGUCUCGGAUUAUCCGAAGCUGUGAAAGAUGAACUCUCCCGUACCGAACUUCCUCCUACUUUAAACGCAUUGAUUCAACUUUCCAUUAGUAUUGAUAGGCGUCUAAGAGAAAGAAGGGCUGAAAAAGUUCUUACCAAUUCUACUUGGAGAAAACCCUUCACUCCUCCAAAAUUGCCUGAAAAAACUCCUUCUCAUACUGAACCUAUGGAAGUAGGUAUAAUAAGAAGUCCUCUUACUUCUGAAUAAAGAACAAGAAGGAGACAACUAAACCUAUGUAUGUAUUGUGCCUCAAAAGAACAUCUAAUUCCCGAAUGUCCUCUACUGAAACAUUCAAAAGGUGGUAGGCAUCAUUCAUCUACUUCUAUAUUGAACGUCCUACCAAAAAAACCAUCUACUUAUUUUUCUAUAUCUCUCAUAUUACAGUGGGACACAAAAACUGAGGCCAUAAUUGAUUCUGGCGCUAAUGGAGCCUUCCUUGAUUUUUCCUUUGUUACAAAAAAUAAAAUCCCUUGUGUUCGUAAAACUAAUUUUGUUCCAGUCAGAGUUAUUGAUGGUUCAUUUAUAUCCUCAGGACCCAUAAAAAAUGAGACAAUUCCUCUAAGAAUGAUUACCAACAACGUUCAUUCUGAAUUCCUUAUCUUUGAUGUUAUUAAAUCUCCACUUUAUCCAGUCAUUCUAGGGAUUAAUUGGUUAAAAAUCCAUAAUCCGCUAAUUAAAUGGUCCCUUUUCACCAUUUCUUUUUCCUCUGAUUUCUGUAAAAGAACAUGCUUACAACAUAUUCCCAUUCUCCAAAUUACUAAAGAACCAGUUAUACCUCCAUUCUACUCCGAUUUCGCAGAUGUCUUUUGUUAAAAAGAAGCUGAGACACUUCCACCUCAUCGGGUAUAUGACUGCCCAAUAGAUCUCAUACCAGGAGCUCCUAUUCCUUAUGGCCAUAUUUAUCCACUAUCUGAAAAAGAAUUAGAAACCUUAAAAGAAUACCUCAAUGAUAAUCUACGCAAAGGGUUCAUCAGACCUUCGACCUCCCCAGCUGCUUCUAGUAUUUUCUCUGUGAGAAAUAAGGACCAAACCAUUCGACCCAUUAUAGAUUACAGAGCCUUAAACAAAAUAACGAUUAAAAAUCGUUAUCCUCUUCCUCUAAUAAAUGAAUUAAUUGAAAGGUUGAGAACCGCAACUAUAUUCACUAAACUAGACCUUCGUGGCGCAUAUAACCUCAUUAGAAUAAAACAGGAUGAUGAAUGGAAGACCGCUUUCCGGACAAGAUAUGGUCUCUACGAAUAUCUUGUGAUGCCUUUUGGGCUCUGUAAUGCCCCCACAACAUUUCAACAUUUUAUAAAUGAUAUCUUUAGAGAUCUAUUGGAUGUAUGUGUUAUUAUCUAUUUAGAUGAUAUCUUAAUAUAUUCCAACAAUCUGGACGAACAUAGGAAGCAUGUAAGGUGGGUUCUAUCUAGAUUGAGAACACACAAAUUAUACGCUAAUAUCAAAAACACGGACACCCGUGAAAAAAGUGUGAAAACACAAAAAAAAAAACAAAAUGAAAAACUUAGCUGAUAGGUACACUGCUUCCCAAGGUUAUCUCCCAGCUGAUAACCAUAUAACAGAACUGUGUAAUUGAUAGGAUAUUUUGGGAGACUGCUAGUAUACCUAUAAUAGAGAACAAAACAUAGUGCAAAUAUUGCUAAAUAUUAUAAAACUUCCAAUAAUUGAAAUGCACUCACAUAUUCCAAAAAGAUAAGCGUAUUAUGGGUGCCUCCCCUCGAUGGAAAUAGGGGGGUUAACUCCUAUUGAUUUUUCCUCCUCAAGUGAUAGCCAAUGGGGUAUCCAGGUCAGCAAGAAGGUCCACAAACAGCAACCACGGGAAUACUUCAAAGGCAAUUUAUUCACUUACAAAAAUUAAGAAGGUAUGCAAAUAAAACAUAAAAACAAUAUAAAAAUAAGAUGCUGGUCCUACGCGUUUCGUCCUUAUACAAAAAGGACUUCCUCAGGGACCAUCUAUUUCAAUAAAAUAUCAAUUGACAAAUACAAAGAGUAAACAGCAUCCUAAAACGCUAACAAUCAAAAAAUCUUAUAUAGGGCUAAUCCCUUCAAGUCAUUGGUGGAAUAGUGGGUGUCUUCUCAUCUUCCAAUUCGUCGAAAUAUCUCACCUUAUUUUGUGAGGGAAAUGAAAUAAAAUCCAAAUGUUUCUUCAAACCAACUGAUGGGAACAGCUAUGUUCAUAAACGUAGUUGUCACCAUCAACCUUGGUUGAAGGGAAUCACCAAGGGACAACUUACUCGAGUAAAGAAGAAAUUGUUCGCACACCAAGGAUUUUCAGAUACAGGCGCAACAUAUAGCCAAUAAAUUAGUUAAAAAAGGCUAUAAUCAAAAACAUAUAAAGAGAGAAAUUCAGGUGAUGUCCAAAAAGAGCAGAAAUGACCUUCUAAUUGACGGUUCUAGUAGUAGGAAAAAAGGGGAAGAUUUUAAACAGGCCUUUUUCACACAAUAUAAUGUGGAUCAUCCAAAAACAAAAAGGAGUUUGCAUAAGUACUGGCCAAUACUGCUGGGGGAUCCCAUUUUGGGAGAACAUCUAUCCAAAAGGCCAAAGAUUAUUUUUAGGAAAAAACAAAAUCUUAAGAACCUAUUAGCACCAAGUUAUGCCUUAAAAAAUGGAUUUAAAAAUACUAAAAAAUACUAAAAAAGGGCCAAAAGGUUUUAGAGGUUGUAAAAGUUGCAAAGCUUGUUUACAAGUAAAUACGGAUAAAGUUACAUCAUACAGUAGUUUUGUUACAGGGAAACAGUUUUCCAUUAAAUCAGAGAUUGGCUGCCGCUCAGACUGUGUGGUGUAUCUACUUCAGUGCCCAUGCGGCAGCCAAUAUGUUGGCCGUACAAAGAGAUGUUUAAAAGUGAGACUUUUGGAACAUAUUAAUAACAUAAAUAAAAAAUUGGAUACCCAUUCAGUUCCUCUCCAUUGCAACAGUUGCCCAUUUUUCUGUCUGAAGGGUUUGCGUUGUAUAGGGAUAGAGCAAAUUCAACCUCAUUGGAGAGGGGGUAAUAAAGAAAAACGAUUGGCACAAAGGGAAUCAUACUGGAUUCAUAGAUUACGCACCCUUACCCCAAGGGGGUUUAAUGUGGAUAUGGAUAUUGUCUGUUUUUUGAACUAAUUGAGUGAUAAGAUAUCACUAUUUGGAGAAGGGAAAGAAGGAAAAAAAAAAAGUAUUACUUUAUUAGAGAUUGAAGGAAUAUGGAGUGUAUAAUCACUUAUGCCACUUUACACAAUAUGGAUAUGUAAUUGAAUAUAUGAAUAAAUAUUCAAGUCACUUCACACAUUUUGGAUCUGCAAUUUAGAUAUAGUUAUUUAAUUUAUUUUAAUGGUUUAGUUUGUUAUAUUAAUAUAUUAAAAUAUCACUGUCAAUAUAUGAAGUUAUUAAUAAUCAAAUAUCUUUUUGUAAAGUUAUAACAGAUAUUAUGAAUGAUCAGCUUAGAUGGGGAGUUGUUUUCAUUCAUUUUAAUAAUGUUUCGAGUUAGUUAUUUGUUAGAGGACAUUUUAUUAUUGCUAUGAUUUUCUAUAAGACUAUAACAUGAUCUUUAAUAGCUUUUUAUUUUUCAGUUAUUUGUAUAUUACCACCAGGUAUAAGAAAAUUGACUUUUUAGUCUAUUAUGCUAUGGAACGCAUGGCCAUGUUUUUCUUUCGAGCGUGGAACGCAUAAAGGUCAUGUGAUGAACAUUUUACCACGUGACGCACGCGUAACGUAUGACGUACGCGGAAGUGGCUAAAUGUGUUGAACGGACCCAGCAUUUCAUUCCGGUAAAGCGGCUACACCUGGGGAGAAGAAAAUUUCGACGAAUUGGAAGAUGAGAAGACACCCACUAUUCCACCAAUGACUUGAAGGGAUUAGCCCUAUAUAAGAUUUUUUUGAUUGUUAGCGUUUUAGGAUGCUGUUUACUCUUUGUAUUUGUCAAUUGAUAUUUUAUUGAAAUAGAUGGUGCCUGAGGAAGUCCUUUUUGUAUAAGGACGAAACGCGUAGGACCAGCAUCUUAUUUUUAUACUGUUUUUAUGUUUUAUUUGCAUACCUUCUUAAUUUUUGUAAGUGAAUAAAUUGCCUUUGAAGUAUUCCCGUGGUUGCUGUUUGUGGACCUUCUUGCUGACCUGGAUACCCCAUUGGCUAUCACUUGAGGAGGAAAAAUCAAUAGGAGUUAACCCCCCUAUUUCCAUCGAGGGGAGGCACCCAUGAUACGCUUAUCUUUUUGGAAUAUGUGAGUGCAUUUCAAUUAUUGGAUGUUUUAUAAUAUUUAGCAAUAUUUUCACUUUGUUUUGUUCUCUAUUAUAGGUAUACUAGCAGUCUCCCAAAAUAUCCUAUCAAUUACACAAAUUAUACGCUAAACCUGAGAAAUGCCUUUUUGAGGUAACUGAAUUCUCUUUUCUAGGAUAUAUUAUUUCACCUCAUUCCUUGAAGAUGGAUAAUUCCAAAAUUGAGUGUAUUAUUAACUGGCCCACCCCUACUAGUACAAAAGAGUUGCAACGAUUUCUUUGAUUUGCAAAUUUCUAUAGAAAAUUUAUUAGAAAUUACUCAGAUAUAUCUCAUCCACUUAAUCUCCUUAACAGUAGUAAGCGUUCUUUUAAUUGGAAUGAAAAUGCACAAACAGCCUUCAACAAAUUAAAAAGAAGAUUUACAACUGCCCCCAUUCUUCAACUACCUAAUCCAACAUUCUUAAAUGUUCUUGAAGUAGAUGCAUCAGAUACAGCUAUCGGAGCAGUGCUUUCUCAACAAAAAACACCUCAGGAUCCGCUCCAUCCAGUUGCUUUUUUUUCAAGAUCCUUGAGCUCCGCUGAAAAAAAAUUAUCCUAUUGGUGAAAAAGAAUUGUUAAGUGUUAAAGCUGCCUUUGAAAAUUGGCGUCACCUCCUUGAAGAUACAAAACACCCCAUAGUGGUUUAUACAGAUCAUAAAAAUCUUGAAUAUCUCUAUACUAACAAAACCCUCUCAGCUAGACAAGUUAGAUGGAAUCUUUUUUUUAACCGAUUUAACUUCCAAUUGGUAUACAGACCUGGAACUAGAAAUAAAAAGGCAGACGCUCUCUCUAGAAUUCCUCAUAAAACUACUAUUGAUGAUUACCCUCCUAACAAAACAAUUGGAAUUAUUUCUUCUCUAUAUGAUGACAUAAAGAAUUUGAAUCAAAAAGAUCUUGAGCUUCCCAAUACACCUAUGUUAAAAAAAAAGGAUGGCAUAUUUUAUUUUAAAGAUAGAAUUUAUAUUCCUCCCAUAAUUAGGAAUAAAUUACUUAAAAUGGUUCAUGAUUCUCCCCUAGCUGGACAUCCUGGGAUUAAGAAGACUCUUGAAUUAACUUUACGAUAUUAUUGGUGGCCUCGCCAGGAUAAAACUAUUGAAUUAUAUGUCAAGACUUGCCCUAUCUGUCAAAGGUCCAAACCUGAACAUCAUCAACCUUUUGGAUUACUACUUAACUUACCUAUUCCAGAAAAACCUUGGCAAUCCAUAUCUAUGGAUUUUUUAGUGGAUCUCCCACCUUCUCAACAUUUCACCACUAUCCUUGUCGUUGUAGACCGCCUCACUAAAAUGUCCCAUUUCAUCUCUUUAAGAAAAUUGCCCUCCUCAGCAGAAUUGUCUAAAGUCUUUAUAGAUAAUAUUGUAAAGCUUCAUGGACUUCCUGAAGAAAUUAUUUCUGAUAGGGGGACACAAUUUACCUCCAAAUUCUGGAAAGAGAUGUGUCUCUCCCUUCAAAUUCAACGCAAACUCUCAUCCGCCUAUCAUCCCCAAACUAAUGGGCAAACGGAGAGGGUUAAUCAAUGCCUGGAACAGUAUCUGCGAUGUUAUUGUUCAUACCUACAAGAUGACUGGACCACAUGGUUACCUAUGGCUGAAUUUUCUUAUAACAAUACUAUUCACUCCAGUACAAAAAUGACUCCCUUCUUCUCGAACUAUGGUUUCCAUCCAUCUUCAUUUCCCAUCCAAACCAUUGCUUCAUCCAAUCCUACUGUUUCAUCUAGAAGCGAUUUUAUGUCUUCCCUAUUUCUCAAAUUACGGGAGAAUCUUCAACUCGCCCUAAAUAACCAGAAAAAGUUUUUUGACAAUAAAAGAAAAACACCUCCUAAUUACAAAAUAGGAGAUCUUGUCUGGCUCUCCUCGAGGAAUAUUACCACCAACCGCCCCUCAAAAAAAUUGAGCUUUCUUUUUCUUGGUCCUUUUCAAGUAAUUGCAGUAAUUAAUGAUAACGUUGUUAAACUAAAACUUCCUCCAAGUUUCAAACUUCAUCCAGUAUUCCAUGUCUCCUUGCUUAAACCACACAUCCCCGAUCCUUUCAAUAGGGAAGUGGUUACAUCUCCUGAACCUGUCAUUGUCCACGGUGAAGAGGAAUAUGAAAUACAUAAAAUUUUGGAUUCACGUGUCCACCGUGGCUCCCUACAAUACCUAUUAGAUGGAAAGGUUAUGGAGUUGAUGAAGACACUUGGGAAGAUUCAUCUGAUGUUCAUGCAAAAAGAUUAGUUGCUGCAUUCCACAGGCGCUAUCCCUCCAAACCAAAAUGAAGUGUACCCAGUGGGUGCCCCAUGGGAAGGGGGUACUGUCAGGUUAUACCUGCCGUGCCUUUAGCCGAACUAACCCACUUCCGGGUUCACAGAGCUUCGCCCCGCCCCUUUUUCUGACGCGGUCUUUCCACGCUACAUAGGAAGACCGCGCCAGAUUCAAAGGGCUGGAUUAUUGUACAGGUGUCAAGGCUCAAUUCUGUUUCCUUCAAUCAAGUUACUCUCAGUUACUAAUAAGAAACUGCUUCUAAGGCUCAAUUCUGUUUCCUUCAAUCAAGUUACUCUCAGUUACUAAUAAGAACUGUUUCUAAGGCUAAAUACUACUUCCUUCAAUCAAUUUAUUCCUAGUUGCAAACUCUGUCUUGCCUCAUUGAUAAAUUUGCUUGUAGUUAUUAUACUACAUUUAAUUCAACCUAACUCUGCAUGCAUUCUCUGCACUAUUCUUAAUUGGGACUGUUUGGCUCUGUGCAAAUCUUCAGUGGCUUAUUUUUUCCCUGCAAUUAACAACCUGCUUGAGGGUUUAAAGCUACAGUAUUCUCUCCUCCACAUCAGGAACAAAAAUAGGUAAAACUAUCAAUUUCUGUAAUUAAAAACUCUGCAGUUGCGUUCCAAAUAAGUUAGUAUUACACUGUGCAUAACACUCAGAACGACAGGCGGAUGCGUAUUACGGAUGUUAACCUGUGGCUUGGUGAAUGGUGUCGGGAGCAAGGAUUUGGCUUCAUUUCUCAUGGUAGCUCUGUUUGGAAUGGAAAUAAACUGUACAAAAAAAGAUGGUUUGCACCUUUCUCAAAAGGGAACAAAUGUUCUCAGUGAACAGUUCAGAGAUUUUGUUAGGAUGUAUUUUAACUAGGGGGGGCAAAGGGGUGAUAAAACAUCAAUCCAAUUGCCCCCCAAAACAAGGACAGUGUGCUAAAAAUUAUAAGCUUAGAGAAUUAGGGAAUAAGAUCCAUGAACUUGUGGCAAUAAUGGCAACUCAUAAUGUAGAUUAAGUCGCUGUUACUGAGACAUGGUGUAAUGAGAAAAAUGACUGGGACAUAGCAAUACCGGGUUACUCUUUAUAUAGAAAAGACAGAGAGGCACGAAAUGGGGAGGGUGACCCUGUAUAUGAAGGAUAGCAUAAAACCUAGCAUAAUAAAAGUUAGUGAGGCGAAGAUAGAGUCCGUUUAGGUUACAUUAGAAUUUGGUAAUCACACAGUAACUCGUGUAGGUGUGAUUUAUAGGCCCCCAGAACAAACAGAAGAGUUAGAUAAUCUACUAGUUGAGGAAAUACCUAAAAUGACAAUGAAGGGGGGAGUUACCAUCAUGGGUGACUUUAAUCUUCCUGAUUUGAAUUGGAAAACCAAAAUAGCUGCUUGUGCCAGGAGCACACAUAUUCUAAACUCCCUAUUGGUAUAGUCUCUAAAACAAGUUGUUGAGGAGCCAACUCAUAAAGAGGCCAUACUAGAUUUGGAAUUAGUAUGGUAUCAGAUAUUACUGUAGGUGAACGUUUGUGUGGUUUAAUAUAAGAAUAGUGAAUGAGUCACACCACACAAAAACAAAAGUUUUAGACUUUAGAAAAACAGACUUUUCUAAAAUUAGAAUAUGUGUAAAGGAGUCAUUACCAAACUGUAGCAAUUUAAAUGGAGUACAAGAGAAAUGGGAUUAUUUAAAAGUUGAACUGCUGAAGGCAACAGAAAAUGGAUUAGGCUUGUCAGUAAAAGAAGAAAAUUCAAGAAACCACUGUGGUACUCCAUAGAUGUGGCCAAAAUAGUAAAAAACUAAAAGUUAGCAUUUAUAGUAAUUAUAAAAAAAGAGUGAGGAAGACAGAAUGAUCUAUAAGAUUAGGCAGAAAGAGGCUAAGCAAGUUAUAAGCUUCCAAAUCACACACAGAAGAGAGAAUAGUACAGAGAGCACAGUAUGUAAAAAAAAGGGGAUAAAACAUUUUUUAGAUACAUAAAUGAGAAAAGGAAAGUAAAGCAAGGAUUAGUUAGAUUAAAAACAUAAGAAGGAAGGUAUGUAGAAGAGGAUAAAGGUCUAGCUGACUGCCUCAAUUAAUAUUUUUGUUCAGUAUUUACAGAUGAAAAUGAAGGAAAGAGGCCUCAGUUAGCAAAAAGGACAAAUGAGUCAUUUGUUACAUGCGAGUUUACAGAGGAAGAGGUUCUAUUUCAACUGUCAAAAGUAAAGACAGAUAAGUCAAUGGGACCUGAUGGAAUACACACAAAGUUAUUAAAAUAGCUAAGUGGUGUACUAGCAAAACCAUUAACAGAUUUAUUUAACCAAUCAUUGUUAACAUGAGUAGUCCUAGAAGAUUUUAAGUUAGCGAAUGUUGUGCCCAUUCACAAGAAAGGUAGUAGGGAGGAGUCGGGCAACUAUAGGCCAGUAAGCCUUACUUCAGUAGUGGGGAAAGUAAUGGAAACUAUGUUAAAGGAUAGGAUUGUUGAAGAUCUAAAAUUACAUGGAUUUCAAGGUUGAGAGACAACAUGGGUUUACUUCAGGGAGAUCAUGCCAAACUAAUCUUAUUGAUUUUUUUGAUUGGGUAACUAAAAUUAUAGAUCAGGGUGGUGCAGUAGACAUUGCUUACCUAGAUUUCAGUAAGGCUUUUGACACUGUUGCACAUAGAAGGCUUAUCAAUAAACUGCAAUCUUUAAGUUUGGAUUCCAAUAUUGUUGAAUGGGUAAGGCAGUGGCUGAGUGACAGGCAAAAGAGGGUUGUAGUCAAUGGAGUAUAUUCGAAGCUUGGGCUUGUCACCAGUGGGGUACCUCAGGGAUCUGUACUUGGACCCAUUCUCUUUAAUAUUUUUAUUAGUGAUAUUGCAGAAGGUCUUGAUGGUAAGGUAUGUCUUUUUGCUGAUGAUACUAAGAUAUGUAAUAGGGUUGAUGUUCCAGGAGGGAUAAGCCAAAUGGCAAAUGAUUUAGGUAAACUAGAAAAAUUGUCAGAAUUGUGGCAACUGACAUUUAAUGUUGAUACAUGCAAGAUAAUGCAUCUUGGAAGUAAAAACCCAAGGGUAGAGUACAGAAUAUUUGAUAGAGUCCUAACCUCAACAUCUGAGGAAAGGGAGUUAGGGGUAAUUAUUUCAGAUGACUUAAAAGUAGGCAGACAAUGUAAUAGAGCAGCAGGGUAAGCUUGCAGAAUGCUUGGUUGUAUAGGGAGAGGUAUUAGCAGUAGAAAGAGGGAAGUGCUCAUGCCAUUGUAUAGAACACUGGUGAGACCUCACUUGGAGUAUUGUACACAGUACUGGAGACCGUAUCUCCAGAAGGAUAUUGAUACUUUAGAGAGAGUUCAGAGAAGGACUACUAAACUACUUCAUGGAUUGCAGGAUAAAACUUACAAGAAAAGGUUAAAGGAUCUCAACACGUAUAGCUUGGAGGAAAGACAGGGGUGAUAUGAUAGAAACAUUUAAAUGCAUAAAGGAAAUCAACACAGUAAAGGAGGAGACUAUAUUUAAAAGAAGAAAAACUACCACAACAAGAGGACAUAGUCUUAAAUUAGAGGGGCAAAGGUUUAAAAAUAAUAUCAGGAAGUAUUACUUUACUGAGAGGGUAGUGGAUGCAUGGAAUAGCCUUCCAGCUGACGUGGUAGAGUUUAACACAGUGAGGGAGUUUAAGCAUGCGUGGGAUAGGCAUAAGGCUAUCCUAACUAUAAGAUAAGGCCAGGUACUAAUGCAAGUAUCUAGAAAAUUGGGCAGACUAGAUGGGCCGAUUGGUUCUUAUCUGCUGUCACAUUCUAUGUUUCUGUGUUUCUAUGUUACUGUGAAGUAGUUAUUUGGUUUUAUCAUUAAUGACCCAGUUUUGUAUUUGACUUUUCUGAUUUCCUGGUUCCAUGACUUCAGCUUGUUUUUUCGUUCUUGUCCUUGGCUUUCUAUUUUGACUCUGAAAUUUAGCCUAUGUAGGUCACACGUUAACCCAGCCAUUAAAUAAAGUAAUUUAUUUAAUAUAGAAUAUUAAAACCAAUAAGUUACUAUUUAAAUUACUUUAUAUAAUUUAUCCUUUUUACUAUUUUAUCUUCAUUUAUCGUUCCUGGCAUAUCCUAAGGUGGGGAUUAUACCACCCACGCGAAUAAUAGAGUGCAGAAAGGACUGCACUCUACUUGUGAGUAUAUUUUAUUUAUUUUUAACUCUUUUGCCAACUACCUCAUCAGAGAGCACUAUUUGCUGUUUUUUUCUUUUCCUGAGAAUUGGACACCAGCACUCUACAGGAGGACAAGCACCCCCAUAAGCGGAGGGUUAUCCGCUGUAUGCCCAUCAUACUAGAGCUAGUCCUAGCUCAUGGAAAUGUGAGUGCACAAUUUAUAUUUUAACUUCACUAUCACUUAUUUAUACAAUCUGCACGACUGGUUCUUUCCCAUUGUGUCUUUCAUAUCGUGAGACGGACGACUAUUAACAAAGAAGACACCAUACCAGUUCGGACAACAUUUAAUACUGGGACUUUUUUAUAUUAUUCUCAACAAUUUUAUACUGGGACUCUUUUAUAUUACACUCAACAAUUUUAUCUGUCAAAUAUUUUGGCGCAGCCUUUUCUUUGUUUUUUUGUAUACUUUUACUGUAGAGGGUUAGAGGGUGACCCCCUAUUAGGCUGCUGCCUUCUUAUUCAUUUUUUAUUCCUUUUAUUAUUAGCGCUAACCUUUUUUUAACCUUUUCCUGUAUCCACCUUACACAAUGGGUUAAUGUAAUUAUCACAGGCAGAGAAAUACAGUUUUUCCACAUUAUUGAUAACUUUAAAAGUAUAUAUCACAUUCACAUUUUCAGAAUCAGCAUACUCCAAAUACAAACAUAUGUCAAAAUCAUCCAAAUUGGUCCAUUGGUUCAAAAGAUAGAUCGAAGUCCUUUGUGACCAAAUGAAGCAUGGCUUUUCUGCCCAAAACCAGUUCCACAGAGUCUUCUAUCCUGGAGAUAAUUGGGAAGUAAUCCAAUUAUCUCCAAGGACAGAGGCAAAACUCCAUUGAACACAUGGUAGCAAAAGACAAUAAAAUACAUAAAAAUAUAUAACUGUGCAGCUAUUGCAUAAAACAGGUACAUUCAACAUAUCCCCAGAUAGCUCAGAUCUGAGCGCACAUUAUUACUAAAUGGCGCUCAGAUCUCAUACAUACAGUUCAAUUGCCAUGGAGCCAAACUCUUUCACGUAGUGUUUCGUUUUACGAAUGGGCUCCAUGGCAUAGCUAUCUGGGGUAUCACUAUUCAAAUAGGGAAAGUACCGAAUGACCCAGCUUUUGUGUCUUUGCAGGGGAAAAUCAAGCGUUUCAACAUGGGGCCAUAGUUUAAAGGCAGCAGACAGGCAACCAGGCUCCUCCAAUGCACAGUGGCGAGAUUGGUCUCGUCACAACCCGCAAAAGCAUUGCUGCGGGUUGCCAUGGCAAUGCUCCAGCAUGCAUUGAACUUAGGUAAACGAGCACCUAAUCUACUGUUUUCUAAAUCUUCCAGCCAGUUUGUUAUAGCACACAACAUUCACAAACACUCAUGGAUCAUAUUUAAUUCAUAUAGAGAGUUGGAAAUUUAUGUUCCAAAAAAUGGUUUAACCCCUUAAGGACACAUGACAUGUGUGACAUGUCAUGAUUCCCUUUUAUUCCAGACGUUUGGUCCUUAAGGGGUUAAAGUUCUAAAAGUGUGGCAGUCACCAUGGAAACCAGUGGAAUUUCCAUUGAUGAAUUCUCCUAUUGUAUAUCUUUGUGUCACUUUUUUAAAAUAGAAUAUUUUCUGUUCUUGCAUUUGACCUCAUCCACCACAUUGUCUGCAUCAAUGUCAACGUGUGGGACCUUAAGAGAAAAAUGUUUAACAGGCUAAGCAAAAAAAAGUAUCCAAAAACUAAGAAAGAGAUGUAAUUUAUUUAAUAAUCACUCAGGAAAAAAAAAAUAAUAACAGUUAAAUAUUCGUUGAUAUGGAAACUACUGCAAAAUUCUUCCUGAUUGCUAAGCUUUUAGAAGUUUUUGCAGAAUUGCUUCCAAUAUUUAUGUGAACAGGUUUGCUUCUUUUUUUGUUGUUACGUGUGGUCUUAAACAGCCGUUCUUUAUUCUACAGAAAUAUCCAACAUCUCCCUUUUCAAAAGUGGUAAUCUUUAUAUGUUAAAUCUUCAGGAGAUGUGGAUACUUUACUAAUAAAUUGAACCUGUCAUACACACUUCAGCAAAAUUAACUAUUUAUUAAACAAAAGGCAGCAGUCAUUGAACAUGCUGUUUGUAUACGGUCUGCAGGAAAUCUACCAAAGCUAUCAGCUUUUUUUUUAUUUCAUCCUGGCCUCUGCACCAUUGAUUUAAACACCAGAAAGGGCAAAAUCCAUUGAAUAGAAUGAAGAAAGCAGUGAGCAAACCUCACAAUAGUCCCUGCGUGUUAUGUUUGGUGCUACAUUGUAAUUGAUUGGAAGUGCAUGAUGCAGGUGAGGACAGCCAGGACUUUGUCACUCUCUAUUACAAACUUUACUUAUUUUUUUCUGUAGCAUGGCCAGACAGCAUCCAAAAGAGAUUCCUAAGAGAAAGCAUGCUUUCUCAGGUCUCUGCACUUUCUGUGCCAGUUACCAUAUGGGGACAUACACUGAUCAGCCACAACAUUAAAACCACUGACAGAUAAGGUGAAUGACUGAAUACAUUUUCACAAUUGCACCUGUCAAGGGGUGGGAUAUGUUUCAUGUGUUGGAAGCAGGAAAAAUAAGCAAGCAAAAAGAUCUGAGUGACUUUCACAAGGGCCAAAUAGUGAUGGCUAGACAACUGAGUCUGAUCAUUUCCAAAACAACAUGGCUUGUGUGGUGUUCCUGGUAUGCAGAGGUUAGUACCAACCAAAACUAGAUCAAAGAUGGAUAACUGGUGAACCGGCAUCAGGGUAAUGGGCGACCAAGGCUCAGUGAUGCAUGUAGGGAGCAAAGACUAGCCCAUCAGGUCCGAUAACACAAAAGAGCUACUGUAGCUCAGAGUGCCCAUGAUGAUCCCUGUCCACAGCCACACGCACCUUCAAUAGGGAAGUGAGCAUUAGAACUAGACAAUAAAGCAAUAGAAAAAGGUUGCCUGGUCUGAUGAAUAUUGUUUUCUUUUAGAUCAGAUGGAUGGCCAAGUGCAUCGUUUACCUGGGGAAAAGAUGGCUGCAGGAUGCACUAAGGGAAGAAGGCAGUGUUCAAGAAUGGUUUGGAAAACAAGUGUUAAGUUCAAGGUGUAGCCUUGACCUCCAAGUUCCCCAGAUCUUGAGCAUCUGUGGGACGUGCUGGAACAACAAAUCCAAUCUAUGUGGUCAACACCUUGCACCUUGAAUAUAAGGGAGAGACAUUGCUAUUUAUACACAAGUGGGGCACAUUGAGAUAGUAAUUUUGGGUUGGGUUUUGAUAAGUGGCAUUGACCCAGGCAGCACACUUUAACUCAGGCUAGCCCUUACUAGCAUUACAAUAUCCCUGUCAUCCAACUGAGUGUCAUUAUUGGUUAGAGGGUUUGUAUUAUUAAUUUUAUAAAUAUAAAUUAUGUAUAAUUUUUGGUAUACAUGUUCUCUUGAUCAAUAAAAGUUUAUUUUUUUUCUCUCUGUAAGGUAAAAUAAUGAUUCAAUUUGAUAUAUUUGGGCUAAGCAUGGGUUUGGAUAAAUUAUGCAGAAACUCAAUCAUGACAUUUAUAUCUGUACUAAAGUUUUCCAAUUGACUUAUGCAUGAAUUAUCCCAGCUGCUGAAGCAUUGUUUAUUUAUUUAUUUUUUUCGCUGUUUUUCACACAGACAAUAUAAACCUUAAUUGUAGCAAACAAUAGAAUCCCAUAGAAUUCUGAGCAUUUGGAUUUAUUACUUUUUUUUUUUUGGCACAGGGAGAGAUUUAUCUUCUUAUUCUGUGAUGCACUGACUUGAUUUUAAACAAACAGCUUCAUUAACUAUAUUAAUUGCUAUCUUUCAAAAUACUGUGUAUUCAUUUUAUGAAUAGUACAAUGGGAAUGCUGUGAUUUCCAGAACAUUAUGGCACUAUUAAUGUUGAAUACAUUAUAAAAUCUGCUGUAAAAUAACAAUUGAGGUCCAGAUUUAUGUGGAACAGAAUAUAAUGUUUAUUGUUAAUCAAUGCUUUUAAAUAUUUCCUUACAAUACCCGGGACCUUUCUGUAUUUAUUUUCCUAGAAAUGUUCUCACUACCUUCCUCUAUAGAAAUAAAUGAGUCCUGGGACAGAUCAUAGGUGGAACUUUCCACACAAUUGGCUCAAGCACAUUUAAAGUAGGGAGGGCUUUGAAAUAAAGACAUUGAUAAGGAAGAUUAAAUCCUUAAGGACCAAACUUCUGGAAUAAAAGGGAAUCAUGACAUGUCACACAUGUCAUGUGUCCUUAAGGGGUUAAGAAUCGUGUGUUGUGUCAUAAUGAACAGCGAGCCGGAUAAAGUAUGGAACAUCCUUCAGAAUUAUGUGAAUUUCUUUUUUACAUUGACCUAACAUGGAUCUAAUUUUAUCUUUAUAGAUAUAAUAACAACACUGAAUGUUCUUGCAUCUUGUUUUUAUUAUUUUUGUUAAACACUUUAAUCCUGCAUUCACUGCGGGUUUUGAUGUAAGUAUGUAACUCUUAGAUUUAGCGGUUAGUGACAACUCUUCAACAGGCAUGAUCUAAAUGUUCAGUCCGACAUAUUGGCUUGGGGUGUUUUUGUCAUCUUAUAGAACAGCUACAUGUAGUUGACAUUUCUGGCCUAUUCCUUUUUACAGGACUCCUACAUAUAAUUGCAUGAACUAUGCACUUCAAGUCAUUCCACAACAGUUCAGUUGGCUGGAAGUCGAUAUCAUGCUAUUCCAACACAUAAAAUAAAAACAUCACCUGGUAUUCCAUCUGCCCAGGGUAGGUAACGACAGAACAGAAUCUUGCAAUGCAUCCACACAAAAUAACCACAUUACAGACUUAUCCUUGGACCUUAUUCACAAAGGUCAGAACAUUACCAUGUAUAUAUUACUGUUUAAUGUUACUUAAAUAUUUUAAUUAUGUGUACAUAUACACGUAACUCUUCAUUUUUACAUCUAUAGAGAAUAGAUUGUAUCUAUGAGGGAAAAGGUAGCUGGACCAGUUGCUAAAUGGUAUGUUUAUCUGCUUUGAGAAGGGGGCUCUUUGUACAGGAUUAGAGGCUGUACAGCUGGAGAAGGCUGAAACCCAUGAUUUGUGGGACAGGAUUGUGCCCAGUUUCAAAGGUUCUGGAAUUACUACAAAAUAUCCACAUAUCCAACUCACAUCAAAAUAUACCUAAAGUAGAUUUCACGACAAUAAUAUUACAAGGAUUUAAUAUUAUUUUAGACCCGUCAUUUCCACGCUAACAUCAUUGCAUACAACAAAUUGGCUACAUGAAAACAAGUGGAGCUGUAAACUAUACUGGUGUUUUUGGGCAAUUAUAUAACUAGAAAGUGAACAUGAUUCUCACCAACUUGCUAUUCUACAUGUAAUUAAUUUACAGUAUCCCUUAAAUUCAGAGUUUAAGACUAAGUCUACAAUAAUAACAUAGAAGGAGAAAUACAUUUUUCUAUUUCAUAACCUAAUUUUGAAAUAAAUUGUUGUGAAUUUUCUACAGUGGAGGAACUAAUGUAAAGAGGGCCCUGUUGCAAGAAAACAUUUUGGUCCCCUCUAGUGCAAGUGUGGCCUAAAGGUAGAUUUCCAUCUGUCAUACUGUGUUGCCUGCAGUGUUCUCUGUCAUCCCUCUCUGUGCCUCCUCCAUCUUCCCAGCCUGCACAGUCUGUUAGCUGGAAGGAAGUGACAAGAAAUCUUGUCUUUAAUAAUUAAUAAUAAUUAAUUAAUUAAUAAUAAUGUCUUUAAUGACAUUAAAGAGGCCAGGUCAUGCUGCUAAAAGGCUGCAGUACCCAAUCAUGUCAAUUAUCACACCUGCCUGCCUGCCUAUCGGGUGUGCCCUAAGUGGAUGGGCUACCCAAUGGGGCCCCAAUGACUGCGGGCCUUGCCGCAGUACCACAGGCUGCACCAGUGGUAGUGCCGCCACUGAUUUUCUAGCACUUUGCUUAUAGAAUGGUAUGGUCUAAAAUGCAACUUUUAAAAAUACAGCCAAAAUAAUGACUAAUAAAAAAGUAUGUGAUGUUUUAUAUGCUACUUGAGGUUCCAUUUAUAGAUACAAUGUGUCUAUAAAAAGAAUGUUUGUACAUGAGCAUAAUGUCCACAUACAGUGAGUACAGCUAUAUCAAAUAUCUGUACUAUAUAGGGCUUUGCAUGCUGUUAUAUAUUUGUCAAUAUUGAAGGUAUGAAGCCAGGAGCAUGUCAUCCUUAGAAGCAUACACUCCACGAUAGUAAAUAACCCUUCAGGGCAGCCAACAAUACUUUUGACUUUUCUUUCUACUUUUUCUUUACAGCAUACAUAAUUUUUAUAUGUAAACAAAUACAUUUCUUCUCAGAACAAACAGCUGUAGGUGUUGCUGCUGCAGCUAAUUCUAUUCUCCUUGUGCCCUUGUGCUCUGGUUGCAUUGUUGGCAAAAGGGAUCAUUUUCGUUUGCUGCCAAAUCACAUUAUUACUAUGAACAACAAUCAUCUAUUUGCAAGGUCAGAUAAACGUUUAUAAAUGUUUAUAUUAAAUGCAUUUAUAUACAGUUGCAAGAAAAAGUAUGUGAACCCUUUGGAAUGAUUUGGAUUUCUGCACAAAUUGGUCAUAAAAUGUGAUCUGAUCAUCUGCUUAAACUAAUAACACACAAAGAAUGAAAUGUUGCCAUAUUUUUAUUGAACACACCAUGUAAACAUUCACAGUGCAGGUGGGAAAAGUAUGUGAACCCCUAGACUAAUGACAUCUCCAAGAGCUAAUUGGAGUGAGAUGUCAGCCAACUGGAGUCCAAUCUAUGAGAUGAGAUUGGAGGUGUUGGUUACAGCUGCCCUAUACAAAACACACACCAGUUCUGGGUUUGCUUUUCACAAGAAGCAUUGCCUGAUGUGAAUGAUGCCUCGCACAAAAGAGCUCUCAGAAGACCUACGAUUAAGAAUUGCUGACUUGCAUAAAGCUGGAAAGGGUUAUAAAAGUAUCUCCAAAAGCCUUGCUGUUCAACAGUCCACGGUAAGACAAAUUGUCUAUAAAUGGAGAAAGUUCAGCACUGCUGCUACUCUCCCUAGGAGUGGCCGUCCUGUAAAGAUGACUGCAAGAGCACAGUGCAGACUGCUCAGUGAGGUGAAGAAGAAUCCUAGAGUGUCAGCUAAAGACUUACAAAAGUCACUGGCAAAUGCUAACAUCCCUGUUAGCGAAUCUACAAUACGUAAAACACUAAACAAGAAUGCAUUUCAUGGGAGGAUACCACAGAGGAAGCCACUGCUGUCCAAACAAAACAUUGCUGCACGCUUACAGUUUGCACAAGAGCACCUGGAUGUUCCACAGCAGUACUGGCAAAAUAUUCUGUGGACAGAUGAAACCAAAGUUGAGUUGUUUGGAAGAAACACACAACACUAUGUGUGGUGAAAAAAAGGCACAGCACACCAACAUCAAAACCUCAUCUCAACUGUGGCCAGGGCCUGGACGGAUUGCUAUCAUCGAAGGAAAAAUGAAUUCCCAAGUUUAUCAAGACAUUUGGCAGGAGAACUUAAGGCUAUCUGUCUACGAGCUGAAGCUCAACAGAAGAUGGGUGUUGCAACAGGACAAUGACCCAAAGCAUAGAAGUAAAUCAACAACAGAAUGGCUUAAACAGAAGAAAAUACACCUUCUGAAGUUGCCCAGUCAGAGUCCUGCACUGUGAAUGUUUACAUGGUGUGUUCAAUAACAACGUGGCAACAUUUCAUUCUUUGUGUGUUAUUAGUUUAAGCAGACUGUGAUUGUCUAUUGUUGUGACUUAGAUGAUGAUCAGAUCACAUUUUAUGACCAAUUUGUGCAGAAAUCCAUAUCAACCCAAAGGGUUCACAUACUUUUUCUUGCAACUGUAGGUAGGUACAUGAACACAGCUUUCUUAUCGGGUAUGCUAAACAGUCUCAAAUGCAGAGCAAUAUUAUGUUUUAAAGCAACUACCAGUUUCCAAAGCUUAGAAAGCUUUUUCCGUUCCCAAUUCUCAACCAGUUAGCAACUAUCUAAUACAUAUUACCGCAAUGCCAUUAAAAUAUUUGACUAUUUUCGUAGUGUUCAAGUAGCUUUUUAGUGCAAAUACAACUUUAGUGGAAAUAUGUGGUUUUUUUGCAUUUUCAACAAAUAUUUCUAUAUUUCUUAUAUUAUUCACAAAAUAUGAGUUGACUACAGAAUCAUGUUCAAACGUGUUAACAGCAAAUAAUUUAGCAGGUUUUGAAAACACCCAAUAUGUUACUGGUGAUUUAGUGCAAUUACUUGACCAGAAAGGGAAGACAAUUCUCACAAACUUGUUAGACAAUAUGUAGUUGAGUUACAGUAUUCCUUAUCAACAAUACAAGUUUGGCUUAAUGAAGCAGUUUUAGUGUAUAGAUCAUGCCCCUGCAGUCUCACUGCUCAAUUCUCUGCCACUUAGGAGUUAAAUCACUUUGUUUAUGCAGCCUUUGUCACACCUCCCUGAAAGUAGCGUGCACAGCCUUCCUAAACACUUCCUGUAAUGUUAGUUCUAAUGUUUACACUUGCUUUAUUGCAAAUGCUGUUUAAUUUCAAAUUUCUUAUCACCUGCACUGUUAAUGGCUUGCUAAACCUUGCAGGAGCCUCCUUAUGUGGUUAAAGUUCAAUUUACAGAGAUAACGUUUUUAAAGUAAGCUAAAGAGUCACUCCCAACUCAUAAACAAAUUUAGCUGGCUGAAAAGAUUUAUGUGUGAAGAGUGUGUCCUCUUUUUUUUCGCUUUUUUGGACACUUUUAUAAAUUAACCAUAUAGACUUAACUCUUCAUUUUUACAUCUAUAGAAUAGAUUGUAUCUAUGAGGGACAAGGUAGCUGGACCAGUUGCUACAUGGUAUGUUUAUCUGCUUUGAGAAGGGGGCUCUUUGUAAAAAGUUUCCAGUGCCAGGAUUAGAGGCUGUACAGCUGGAGAAGGCUGAAACCCAUGAUUUGUGGACAAAGUAGACAACGGGUAAUGUUACUUCACGGUUUCGUUAGCACAAUGUAGCUGAUCUCAAGAUGCAGCAAUAGCUCAGAGAACUUGACUUACAAAGACUUUUCAUUCAACUGUAUUGGGAAGUCUGCGAUUGGACAGCCACAGAAAGUCUGGGCGGAGUUAGAAGGGGAGAGCUUGCAAAGACAGCAGACAAGAGAACUGCAGGUUUUGCAAGCUGAUUUUAGAUAUAUUCAUAAUGAAAAAGAAACAUAAUUAAAUGCAUGCAUAUUUUCAUUUGGGGUAUAUCUACUAAAUAUUCAUUUUUAUUUAUUUUGUAUUUGGGCAGUGGAGUGUCACUUUAACAUUUGAUUGGAAAAGAAAAAUUAAUGUAGGCUAUGUGAGUCACAGCAAGGGGAGGUGCAAGGGCAGAAUCCUAAGUAAUUUCGUUCCUAAAUGGCAGAGAAUUGAGCAGUGAGACUUCAGAGGCAUGAUCUACACAAGAAAACUGCUACAUUAAGCUGUUUUAGUGACAAUAGUGUCCCUUUAACUUCCAUAUUUCAAACUUGAUAUACAAUAUUAGCAGUGAAGCAGAAAUGCAUUUUUAUUAUACCAUCAUGUUCACAAAAAAUAGUUAGGAAUCGUCUAAUACAUUGCUUACAGAUGUAGUUUAAAUGUGGUCUUUCUGUGUUUGUUGGAUAUGUGUAAUGCCAUAUUUCAAUUUUAAUUGUUCAUAUUUUGUAUGUAACAUAUAAAUCACUGUGACGAAGUGCCCUUCGCCACUUCUACCUGGAGAGGACUAAUGGCUAGCCUCUUGCCUCGUGACUAUGGCCCCUCUCAUCAGCCCAUGCUGUAACUUUAACCCCAUGGCGAUUUGACUGUGGUUGUGGGAUCUGAGCACUGUUUGGAUAUAUUGAGCACUCAGAUCCAAGCUAUCUGGGGAUAUGUUGCAUGUAUAUGUUUUAUGUAGUAAUUGUAACAUUGUGUAAUUUUAUGUCUUUUUGUAACCAUGUGGUUAAUUGAGUCUUGCCUCUGUCCUGGGAGAUAAUUUGAUUACUUCCCAAUUAUCUCCAGGAUAGAGAGGAGGGAUUGUGAUGUCAAGUGGGAGUAUUUUGUUUGUAUUGUCUGUAAUUGGUUUAUAUCCAAUAUGUGUCCCAUUGUUCCAUUAGGUCCCCUGGACACUUGCAUAAAUACCAGACAGGUAGCCCUCAAUAAACCAGACCUACUUGCACCUUUCUUGAAGCCUUGGCUCAUGCUUGGGGGAAGGGAUACCUACACUCUGGGGAUACCUAUAAUCACUUACUCUCUUGUAAGAUCUUGAUUUGUUCCUGCUACGUUGGCGGAGGUACUCGGCAGGUGGAGAUUGGACCGAGGUCUCUCUACCGUCCCUACAGGGAUGCUGGGCACCCGGCCCAGAUCCCCAGCGGCAGUGCAUCUCACAGGGAGAGGAGACAACCGGUCUCUCUCCCCAGCGGCGGCCUGAGUUCCAGGAAGAGGAGAUGGUCGAUCCCUCCACCGUACAGCAACCAGCAUCCUGGGGAGUGGAGGCAACCAGCCUCCGUCUCCAACAGCAGCCAGAGAUACCUGGAGUAGGGACAGUAGGUCCUACUCCUCAGUGGCAGUAUACUUUGCAGGGAGAGGAGACAACCGGUCUCUCUUCCCAGCGGCGGGCUGAGUUCCAGGAGGAGGUGAUGGUCGAUCCCUCCACCAUACAGCAACCAGCUUUACAGAAGAGGAGAACUAGAGGAAAUCUGGGGGCAACCGGCCUCCCUCUCCCACCCCAGCCGGGAGUGGGGGAAAACCACCCUAACCCCACUGGCACAGAUGGGACCACGGUCUCUGUGCCAGUCCUACUAGGAUGCUGGAUGGGCGGUCCAGAUCCCCAGCUAUCCCCGAAGGGAUACCAGGAGGAGGAGGUAAGUGAGCCCUCCCCUCUCCAGCUACAUCCCGACUAGAUCCUGGGGGCAGUGGAUGAGCCUGCGAUACUCACUGACCCCCUCCCAGCAGAAGAGCUGGCAUCUGGGCACAGCGCUGUUAACCUCUGCCCUCCCGUUGCCCCUGGUCCAGAGCCUCACUUACUGCAGGCUACCCUAGCAGAAGAGCUGGCAGGAGGGCAGAGCGCUGCUGGCCUCUGUCCCCCAAGCAACACCAGCAGUUUGCCUAGCUGCACCAGACCGAGGGCGCUGCACUGUCCCACUGCAGCCUGGAACCCACGGAGCAGUGCCAUUUGUUGUGGGGGGGCUACUCUGUGAAUUUUUCUUUGUGGGUGGGCUGCCCGACAAACUUAGGUACUGACCGGCAGAAGGUCAGGUACCUGUUUAGUCUUCCCCCCAAUGAGAAGAUGUUUGACGAAGUGCUCUUCGCCACUUCUACCUGGAGAGGACUAAUGGCUAGCCUCUUGCCUUAUGACCAUGGCCCCUCUCAUCAGCCCAUACUGUAACUUUAACCCCAUGGCGAUUUGACUGUGGUUGUGGGAUCUGAGCGCUGUUCGGAUAUAUUGAGCGCUCAGAUCCAAGCUAUCUGGGGAUAUGUUGCAUGUAUAUGUUUUAUGUAGUAAUUUUAACAUUGUGUAAUUUUAUGUCUUUUUGUAACCAUGUGGUUAAUUGAGUCUUGCCUCUGUCCUGGGAGAUAAUUUGAUUACUUCCCAAUUAUCUCCAGGAUAGAGAGGAGGGAUUGUGAUGUCACUGUGGGAGUGUUUUGUUUGUAUUGUCUGUGAUUGGCUAAUAUCCAAUAUGUGUCCCAUUGUUCCAUCAGGUCCCCUAGGGGAGUGUCCACCUGGUGGACACUUGCAUAAAUACCGGGCAGGUAGCCCUCAAUAAACCAGACCUACUUGCACCUUUCUUGAAGCCUUGGCUCAUGCUUGGGGGAAGGGAUACCUACACUCUGGGGAUUGCUAUAAUCACUUACUCCCCAGAGUAAGCUCUUGUAAGAGCUUGAUUUGUUCCUGCUAUGCUCUCUGGAUUUAGGAGAGGUUCACCCACUGGGAGCUGGAUCCUGGUCGUGGAUCCAGGGUGGGUGAGAGACGGCGAGACCCUGGCGCAGCUGCAUCGCUGGAAGUGGGUUGCGCAGUGCUGAUGGUGUCGGUUGGAGUGCUCGGAGUCCUCGGCAAGCUCUAGGAGCAUCGAUUGGUGGAGGUACUCGGUCGGAGUGCCAGCGGCCCGUCACAAUCCCUUCCACUGUAUUCUAUUCCAUGCUCCACAUAGUGACAGAAGAUGGAAGAGCUAGGUUUGGAUUUCUCAUUAGGCGUAGCAGUACCUAUGUACAGGACCAUGUCCCGUAGGGGCGAAUGUUUUUAGCACUUUGGAGCAUUAGUGGGGUGGUGGGGCAUAUAAGCACCAUGAGCCUUGCCCAGUGCCCUAUAUAGUCCAGUCAGCCCUUUAUGUUCCAGGCUAUUUUCUUUUGAUCUUGUUCACUCUUGUAUACUGAAUGCUGGUGUAUGUUAUCGCAACAUGAUUUUUUAUGACACUGACAGUAUUUUAGUAACAUGCGUGAUGGCUAGUUCCACCAACAUUGUAGGACAGAGUAUAAUUUUGUUUUGUUCUAGUUUUUACAGAUUUUCAAGUUUACUAUUUUUAUGGCUUCCACGUCUUACUAGUCAGCUAGUAAGCUAGUUUCAACGUUUUUUUAGCUUAUCGUUAGUUUAUUUUUGUUUUCAGUUUGUUUUUUUUCACAAGAAAAUCUUUUGUGUACAUUUGUGACAAAUAAUCUUCUGUUACUCAAACUGAGGGCACUGUGAUAUAAUUACUUUAGUACAAUCAAUUUUUCUUUUGUAAAAACACAAAAUGUAAGGGAGCAUUUUUAUCCUGCAUUCUAUAUCUCACAGACAACAAAUAAUGAAACAUUUAUCUUUCAUACUCUUUGCUGUAGCUGUCACUAUGUUUUAAAAAGAUAAUUAGACGGAAAUGCUGUUCUUACAAUUUAAGAAGCAUUUUCAUGUCAAUGUUGCCAAAACUAGAAUUCAGUAGUUAUAUGGAAACUACUAACAAGUGUCUAACAAGUGUCUUCAUUACCACAUAACUGUGAAGAGAGACACAACAAAAACCAUUAAGACAGUAUGUCAAAUGUCAAAAGAAACAGAAGCGACAAGGCAGAAUCUUUGGCUUCAUUUGCUCUGAAAAUCCCUAGGAAAUUACUUGGUUGGUGUCUUCAACUCAGGGUUGGAUUUGGUAAGUCUUCAAAAGUGGAAAUAGGAUUUUUAUUCAAUUAUAUAUAAGACCUUCUAUGAAAUAGGUAGUUCCAGUUAAAUCAUAUAACAAUUUGGAAGUAGCAAUUCUGCUGUUUAGACUUGUGUACAUCAAAAACAUUCAACUCUGCCAAUACAUUAUUUUUCAGGAUGCCCAAAUUUUGUCAAUGUCGGUUCGGCUUGGCAGAAUUUCAGCAUUGAAAAAUGUAUAUAUACAUACAUAUAUCUUUAUACAUUCCGUAUUUUUGAAAUACAUGAAUAUAGAAUUUAUUUCACAUAAACAUCAACAGCUAAGGAAUUAUUUUACAUCAAAAUUACUUGUUUAAAUGUUUUUGGUCAUGCACUGUUUUUAGAACUUUUUGAUUGUGAAUUGUGAUUUUUGUUCCCCCUUCUCACUUGAUCUGUGAAUAAAAUCAACAUUUAGUGACUUUAGUGACAUAGCCAUCAAUCACCUUUCUUCCCAUCAAUUAGCUCUUUUUUUUGUGUUGACACAGGUGGAAUCCAGAAGCCCGAAUCAAAACGAACAUGCGUGGCUAUUGUACGUUUUGGUUGCUACAUGAUUCAGAUACUUUUCAGCUGGGAUUUCAAAACUUUGACAGAUUACCCAAAUGGCCCAAAUUCAGAUGAAUUGCAGUUAAGACUGAAAUUAAUCCCUAAGUCUGCUGUUUAUGCUUUGAAUAGCCCAUAAAAUGUUCACAAUCUUUGUGGAUUGUUGCUUACCGAUACCCCUUUUGCUUCCUUCCAUCUAUAACACUUUCAC
rnacentral:lncRNA from 1 species